GCUCUUUCUCCAUCAGUUUCCUCUCACGGUGCAGUUCAUUCUCCAACUCUAUCACCUUGACGGUCAGCUCAUAAGUCAACUCCACUUGUGCUUGAAGCUUUGGUUGUGAAGCAUCUGCAACUUCUAUGGCCCAAGUCAUCUUCUCUGGUACAAAGCGAGGAUAGUGAUAUGUGGCAUUGUACUGAACAUCCUCAAAGCGUCUACCCCGGUAAAAGAUCAAGGUCUGGUAAGCUGCAUCUGCCAUGCUCUCCUUCAUCGUGUCCCGGCUGAUUCGAGCGAUGUGUUUUGAUUCCACCUUUCGAAUCCCCUUGGUGGCAUCCAGUGUCUUGACUAUCAGCUCCGCAACCCAAAGUGAUCUCCUCAGCGGGUGUUUGUGCUCAGUGCAAUUAUACUCCAGUGUGGCCUGCAAAUCCGGGUAAUGGUGUUUCAAUGUUAACACCAAAUUCUCAUGGAAGAAGGCCUUGGGAUCUGCUUCUGGAAUCCACAGCUCAGUAGUCCAUCCCAUCCUUGCAUUAGCAGACUGUGAUGGAGGUGGAUCUUGCAAUCAUGUGUUGUAAUUAGUUAGUAGGGAUAGAUAUUGAGAUGAGAUGUGUAAUUUUUAUUUUAUAAUUUAUCUUUUGUAUUAUAUAAUUUAUAUGAUAUAAUUUAUCAUGUGUUGUAAUUAGUUAGUAGGGAUAGAUAUUGAGAUGAAAUGUGUAAUUUUUAUUUUAUAAUUUAUCUUUUGUAUUAUAUAAUUUAUAUGAUAUAAUUUAUCAUGUGUUGUAAUUAGUUUGUGGGGAUAGAUAUUGAGAUGAGAUGUAUAAUUUCUAUUUUAUAAUUUAUCUUUUGUAUUAUAUAAUUUAUAUGAUAUAAUUUAUCAUGUGUUGUUGUAUCGAAUAUUGUCUAAGUUUAGUCUAUCUAAAUAAUUUUUGUUGAUCGCGUCAAAAACUUUUAUUGGAUACUAAUUGUCAUUGAUCUCUGGCAAUGUCAAUUGUUAAUCUAUGACUCAUUGAGAAAACCACAGGAUGAUUACCAAGAAAUGAUAGAUAUUAUCCAAGGGUAACUCCGAUCUCUAUAUAUUAAAUUCUGCUCUUUUAAGUUGGUAAUGGAUAAUUAAUAAUGAUCGUUUUAUUGCUAGGGUUUGGGCUGGGUUCGUGCAGAAACACCGUCCAGAGUUGAAUGCAUCACUUUCAAAGCCCAUCUUACUUCAGUGGGUUCUACGGCAGACACCGGGCAACAAUUUGUGUGGCUACUAUGUGUGCGAGUUUAUGACGGUGUAUGCCAAAAGAACUAAUCUUGAGCACCUAAAAGUAUGUAACAUGUAUAUAUAAUAAGUAUAUUUUAUUUAUUUGUUGCUAUUUAAUAAAUCCUAUUCAUACCUCUAACUUUUUUCUUUAAUGUCUAUUAAAGGAGAUGUGGCUGAAGGAGCAGGUGUUGGAUGCGGUGCGCCUAAAAGGAAUUCAGGAGACAAUCGCAGGAUUUCUUAAUGACCAAGUCCUGGAUUCCGGCGGCGAGUGCUAUUUCAACCCUCAGGAGCAGAUGAAACCAAAUAACGAUGAUCAUUUGUACGAUGCUUGAGUGGUGGAGAAAAAUUGUGUUGUAAAUACUUUGUCCGUGAAGCAUAUGUGUAAAUAUUUUAUUAUGGACCUAUAGAUAUAAUUAUUUAUAUAUAUAUAUAUAUAUAUAUAUAUAUAUAUAUAUAUAGUGUUUUAUAGUAUAUUUAUAUGUAAUCCUUUAAAUUAUAUAAAUUAUAUAGGUGCGCGUUCCAUAAACUACCAGCAAACAAUACGCAUUCGAAAAUAACAAUAACAUAAUUGUAAACCCUAAAUGGAAAACCAAAUGAAAAGAAAAAGAAAAAAGAAAAAAGAAAAAAAGUCUUUAGUCCCGGUUGGUAACAACAACCGGGACUAAAAGUGGAGGCCAGGUGGCACACCCUGGCGCACCUUUUAGUCCCGGUUUCUGUUACCAACCGGGACUAAAGGUGGACCUUUAGUCCCGGUCCACGGAACCGGGACUAAAGGUGGGACAUUUAGUCCCGAAACCUUAGCCCCGAUUCCGUAGCCGGGACUAAAGGCGCUUACGGCCCGGGGCUAAAGCCCUUCCCUGUACUAGUGUUUCCCAAAAGAGCCUGGAGGUGCUGCCCAUAAAUUGGCUCUUCUAGGUCUCACCGCACCUAGUAGCUACAUUGACGUCGAAAACACAAGAUCAGAAGAAACUGCAGCCAUUUGAACAUUUUUCUAUACAUUAGGUUGGAAAUUAUUAUAACACUAUUGAUUGAAUACAUUAGUGACUGGGAGGUCCGACGACACAUCAGCAUGUGUCACUAGUUUGCUAUCUCAUAUUCUUAGGUCAUCCGCAAUGGUUAUCAAAUAGCUAGCUAGAAGGAAUUCUAUUGGCUCUCAAUAGCACUUUACAAAUAGCUAGCGAGAUGAUGUAUAAAAAUAAUAAAAAAGUAGCACUCUCAUUGGCUAUCGAGGAGAGAAAUCAAAUAGCUAGCGACUUCCUAAUAGCUAGCGACUCAUAAAUAGCUAAUCUAGCACGAUCUUCUAGAAAUAACUCUCUCACAAUAGUCUCUAUAAUAGCUAGUAACUUUCUAAUAGCUAGUGACUUCCCAAGCUAGCUAUUUGUAAAUUAUCAUUGAGAGCCAAUAACAUUCUUUCUAGAGAUCAAAUAGCCGCCCUUAUGCUGCGUCUGGGCAUGACAUCAGGAAAUAAGAUGCAAACCAUAAUUGAAGGUGGUGCUGCUGAGUGACAAAGUACCAUCAUUAAUAGCACAGCUGGAGAUGAACCACGACCUUUAGCGGUCACAGACUUUCAUAGGAACAUGUCCCUAUGAGCAGAGAGACUGAGCCAUCGAAAGUUUGUAGUGGAUGCUGAGGAGAAGUGCCUGGAGUUGCAGCUUCAAAAGUACCAAGUAAAAGUACCCAGAGAUGCAGCUGACUACCAACUGAAUGUGUAAAGCAGGUGUGCAUGAAACGUCAUAGUUGCAAGUUUAUUUGUAUUUUAUUAUGCACCCUUAGAAGGCUCAAGAAGCUUCUAGCAGAACUCUAGAAGACUCCAAUCUGUUCUAGAUCGAUGUGGCAGCUGUAUAGACCGAGAGGUGUGCCAAUUUGUAACUGUGACUGACUAGAACAGAUGUGUCAUCAUAAGCCUCCAAUGAUUUCGCAAGAUAUAGUUGGAAGUUCAUUUGUUAUUUUACACACUUGCAAGGUUCAAGAACCUCAUACCUAGACCCUAGAACUUUCCAUAAUGUUCCUGAUAGAUGCGGCAGGUAGACAGCAGUAGGAUUCCCAGAUCAUUUGCCCUCCACAUAUCAUACAUUGAUAUUGAUAAUGUCUUCUUUUAAAAGACAUUUGCUACACAACGACCGGUUAUUUCUAGCAUCCCCAAUAACCACAUUUUGCUCCCUCUCCUUCCUCAGCUCUCACUGCCUCUGCCGUCGCCCCCAGGCUGCCACUGCCACAGCGCAGACUCCCUGCAGGUAGGGUGCGGACAUCUCCGGUGGGACCCAGCCACCACCGCCACCCCGGCACGGGCAUCCCCGGUGGGCCUAGGCCGCCACUGCAAUGGUGCGGGCACUGACAUCAUCAGCGAGCAUACAUUCGGCGCUCCUCCAGAUUUGGGACCCAUCAGGCCUAUGCAGGAAAGGCAAGGGAAGGGAUAAGGUUGGCGAGGGUGGUUCCCACUGAAAUUCGUGAAUAAUUUGAUAUAUAUUUUUCUAAUACCUGCAAUCUAUAGAAAUAAUAUAUAAUUUUUUUUGAAAAAAAUUGGCAAUAUAUUUUUGUGUAGUUGUGUUAUUCCUAAAUUACAUCACUCUGUCUAUUAAUUACACUGAAGAAAUCAUUCUAAAUGGAGAUAGUAAUAAGAUGUAAAUAUAGCUAUAAGACGGUGGAAGUGCAUGUGCAAAAUUCAGUUUUUAGGAGGGACUAAAACAACCAGUUGUUGCCUAGACAGAUCCCUACAAAAAUGAUGUUGGAUGCUGCAAUUCAAAUAUUAUUUGAAAUGGAAUUUAUUGGUGCCUGCUAUAGAAAAAGGUACGAUCAACAUCCUGCUGCAUAUAUACAGUAAAUGGAAUUUAGAGGUGCCGGUUAGAUAUUUGUUAGAAUGAUCUUUGACAGCCUGUCAUCUGCCGAUUGGACAAAAUGAGGAAAAUCAUUCUAUAGGUUUUAGCUAAUAUCAUUGUCCUGUUGAACGAAAACGACUUUGCAAAUUCGUUGUACCAGAAAGAUACAAUAGACAUUAUUUUUUGUAAACCCUUCCAUUUGUGAUGUACUUUUGGAAUUACGAAACUAAAAAGUCAAGAAACUGAUACAUACGUGUGCAUGUCAUAUAUUAUAAUUUUUCGCCUGUUAAUUUCGGAACCUGCACAUCGAAAUGAAGGCUUACACGCUACUUGAUCAGAAGUGGCAGUCCUACUCUUCCCUUCUUUUUCCAAGGAACACUGAUGUUGGGACUUUGGAAGGGUUAGAACUGAUCUGACACCUUCAUUCACCUUCUGUCUGACGUCUCACAGGUUGGUUGGAUCACUCGAGGAACCCGAACCACACACAAUAGAAUUCCUUCCAUCCACGAAGACCCAAGCCCAUAAGUCUGCUCCGGAUCCAAGCUCAGAGUUGUCGGGGACUGCACUUGCUGAUUAACAAAUUAUGGAACUCCACAGAUAACCCCAGACAUACUCCCUCACCAUGACACAUGCAUCCAAGAGUGCGUGAUGCACAAUUAUCAUCUUCUCUUCGUUGGGCUUGCAUUCUAUGGGGUAUUGUUCUAAUCCUGACACUUCUCAUACCUAGUUUACAUAUGGUACAUAUGCAUGGCCACUAUCAACACUAAUAGGGAGAUAGACUCUCUAUAUAUAUCUUCCAUUUUGUCCUUUUAAACUUCUACUAGGCAGCUGCAAUUUUGUUUUUUUUUCAUUUUAGAUUUUAUGGUUUCUGGUUUAGCAUUUUCCCCUUGCAAUGCAUAUAUAAUGAGGGUCUGGAUUAAAAUUUGUACACGUAGAAGGAAAUGAAGAAAAAAGCAUUUACAAUAUCAGUUUCCCGGCAGUCACAACGAUGGGCCUCUUUCUUUACAGUCCUGAUGCAGUUAAUUAACGCACCUCUGCACCAGGUAAAUUGUCUCCCUUUCUUUGUAAAAGGCAUAUUAGGAUUUAAGAAUAGUCUUUAAAAAUGUUCUCUGGCCAUCAGUUAAUCACUAUAGAAAUAAAUUUGUAUUGAAAGAUAUAUGAAAUGAGAAUCUAUUAACAUUUCUUUUCCGCACCAGGUAGGAACAAAACUGGAGUAACAAGUCCACCAACCUGUGUUCCCGCACAGUCUUGUUAUUGUUGAAUGGCUCAGACUAAUAAAAACUAAUUAUAUUAAACUACAUUUUGUUCAAUUUGUUGAUUUGGACAACACAAUUGGAAUAAUAUGUAGCUGUUCCUAUCAAAUUGUUAUAAACUUAUCAAUUACUCACUUCUAUACUACAUCGCUGGUGCCACCUGCGACGGGUCAAAGUGGGUAGUAAUUAAUCACUGCUAGCUCUAUUCUCAGCCCGUAGUGAUAAUGGAUUAUCCUCUUUUUUAGAUAAAGGAUAGUUCGUUCCCAGCUUUAUCUACCAACAGGUAGAUUUAGAGUAAUUAUUACAACCGGCCCGUAUAUACGUCUAAUCAGUUCUGGUCAUAUAUACGUCGAAUAAACCAGAUAAGGCAGGCUAUAGAACCUAUAUGUGCCCACGCAUGAAAAAAUGUAUGUCUUGCUCCUAGAGCGAAUUAAAAAUAAUAAUACAUAGACAAAAUCUUUACAUCUUGGAACAAUUAUAGGGAUUGGAGAGGUAUUGGGACAUUGAGGCACUAUAUAUGCAGAAGUUUCGGUGUUUCUAAAAUCUAUGCAGGGCACCCAAGAUGAGACCAAUCACAGUUUCUCAGUCUGAUUUACAGAAAAAUCCCAGCAUGAAGUCAGUAUGCCUCAGUAUUGCACCCUUGUUUGGGACUAAUGGGUGUCCCUGAAUCCAUCGCAUCUCCAGAGGUCCACUGGGAGCUUAAAUGCAUCAUUGACCGAUCGAGCCAUUUUUCAAAAGAAGGCUGGUGAGAUGGCAGGAGGUGAUGAGAUGGAUAAAUAUAUGUUCGUGUUUGUGGGGAGACAACUGGGUGCGCGACAUCAUUAGAUGCUGUAGAGCAAGAUACCUAUAGGCAUGGCCUUCAUUUUUGUUGGGCUUCUCUUUGCUUCAUUUUACUUAUUUAUGAAACAAAGAAUGUAAGCAAGCAGCCUCAGGCAUACUCCUUUUAUUGACACGGGAAUUGUUGUUUGCUGUCGGCCUCCUCAAGCUAUGCUAUAUAGGCUCAAAUUCAGUCAUGGCUAGAAUAAGGCUUGGCUUGGUCACAGCAAAGGGAUAGUCUCCAUGACCCAGAUAAGACCCAUGCCUAGAUUGCAUAGUAAUCUAUGGGUAUGUCUACUUGAUCCAGAUGAUAAUUCGUUUUUUUAAUUCAAGAAAAUAAUAAGAAUUUCAGUGCACUUUAAUCCCCUACUAGCUAGGAGGAGACAAUAUUAUUGUAGCAUCUCCCGUAGAAGUUACCAUUCCAAGUGAAAAUGGACCUAGGAUGAUUUGUGAACAAGAGAAAACAUGACGCUGCAUGUUGAGAAGUUGCAAUUCACUCAUGUAAAAUAACAUUGGAGAUAUUAAUUACACACUACAAUAGAAAUGACUUUUACAUGAUCCUCCUUUUUUUAUGCAUGGAUGGUUCGUAUAGUAUACUGCCUCUAGAUAUGACAUGCUGCAUUGUGUAUAUAUAGCUUCCGAACUGUUCUCAUAAAUCACUAUUUAGGAGUUGGCUUACUAAAACUACUCAUGAAUUUUUAAUUUUCUAAGGGCAGUUUCUUGUGCCAACUGUCCCUUAAAAUUGAUGAAUCUUUAGGGGUAGUUCACUCCUGCAAAUCGGCCCUUGAAAAUAGCUACCAUGCAAAUAAAUUCAUAACAUUAAUUUUUAUUUCAGGUAAUUUAGAGGCCUAAAUAUAGGUUUUAAGUUCUUAGAAUCUAAAAUUCAAUUUUUCAUAUAUGUUUUAAAUGACCUAGGAUGAAAUCGCACCCUAUACCAAAUUUGUAGUACUUGAUAAGGUCUAAACAUUGUAGUUGAUGACCUCAUCAGAUGCCACCUGCCUUUCAUCGGCACCUUAAAGGCUUUUGGACCUGCUGUUCGUGGCACCUCGAUGCUGUUAAUCUCAAGCAAAGGCGAUUGGGUCCUAGCCUCCUUUGAGGCACGUUCAACGAAUUGUCCCACUUUAAUUAUAAUCCUGUAAACAUUAGGCUGCACUACAAGUCUCCUUGCGGCUCUGAUCUGGCGCAUGGAGUACUCCCGUAAUUCCGAAAUAACGGGUUCUGCACUUACGUCCAUAGAAAGCCCCAAAAGGUGUCAUCUUGAGAUUCUUUUGGUGAUUGUUGUUGUAUGAGAACUCCAUAUAUGGCAAACUCUUAUCCUAACUAGUACCAAUACUGCAAUGCACAAGCUCUCAACAUAUCUUCCAAAAUCUAGUUGGUCUAUUUUGCCCAUCAAUUUGGGGUGAUAAGAAGAACUGAAAUUCAACUUUGUUCUGUAAACUGAGUAACUCUAUAUUGUUUUGGGACUCCAUGCUGCCACACUAUCCUUUCCAUGUACAACUCUUGAUCCCAGAUAGGUAGUCUUGACCAAUUGAAACUAAGCAACUUUAGUAAGCCGAUCCACUAUUAGCCAUAUUGAAUACUUAUAAACUACUAAAAAUGAUUUUAGAACGAAAUAAUCUUCUGGACACAUCUACAACAUCUAUAAAUGGCGGCCUCCAGGAAAAUGCUCACCCUAUUUACAGAGGCGGACGUCCUAAAGCGACCGUCUCUAAAAAUCAUCGAGGCGGUCACCAUAAGAUGCCUAUCUCUAUAAAUUAAUUUUCUAAGGCAUGCGUCUUAAAAUGAUUAUUAGCAAAGACAGUCAUUCUAAGCAUCCAUCUCUAAAAAAAUGCUUUUUAGACUAUAAAUAGAUGCAUCCAAAAAUAAAUCAUAACUUUUUUAUAUGACUUCAGGCGAAGACAAACUUUAUAUCAACAUUCUAGCUCUCGGUGCAGCGCAUAUGUUUGUAAUUGAGAAAAUAUUUGAUUUAAAACUGUUUAGCACCGUAAUAAAUUUUUUUGACUUCAUAGAUUUUGAAAUUUAGAUUUUAAAACAAUCUUGAAUGUUGACACAGUAUAUACCCAAGUUCUAGUUCUCAAUACACUCUAGGACUUUGUACUUAAAAAGUUUUUAAGAGUCCCAAAUACAUGUUUAAAUUUAUAAUUAUAAGAUGUGUUUUAAAUUUAUAUAUUUUGGAAUUCAAAGUUAGAAUUUCUUAAUGAACUUGAAUGUCCAUAAAGUUUAUACACAAAUUGUAGUGGCCAACCUGUUCUAAAUGUUUGUUGUUGAUAAGUUUUUUAUUUGAAGUUUUUUAGCUGCUGAAAUAUUUUUAAACUCACAUAUUUCAAGAUUAAAAAUUUUGAAUUUUCAAAUAAUGUCAGAUUGAGAUGCACACCCUUUAUCAAAAUAUAGAGCUCAACGAGACAUAAAACUAUAUAGUUGACUUUAUUUCAUUUGAAAUCAUUUAGUGGCUCAAAUAUUGAAUACACUGUAGCGUAGGCAAAGGGAUGGAGAUAACCAGCGGGAUGAUGCUGCUAUACGGGCAUCUGGUGUCAUAUGGCCAAGGUCAUAUUUGGCUCGCAUGGCCGCUUCACCGAUGAGGUCGCCUGCCAUGCUGGUGGGCUGCAGCAAUUACACAUGCGGCCUCCGGCCGUGCUCAUCAUUGAAGCCGAGUGAGUGGACUUGUCAAGAAGUUUCCCAGAGUUCCGGCACCGUGAAGACCCAUUAUGAUAAAAAAUAUAACGGUCCACAUCAUGAGAAUGCCUAAUCCGACGGUUAGUGGGCUAUCGGGUGACGUGGCUUAAUCCAUUAGACUUUUGGAUGCAAAAUUCAUAUUUAGAGAUCUGAAUGUGAUCUCCAAAAUUUGGAACUCCAGAAAAAGUGAUUUUGUUCUAAAUUCCAACAAUCUUGUUCGAUUUCUUUCAGUGGUGACUCCUAAAUCUCAGGUGUGAGGAAAGCAAUUUAUGUGGAGUACUGUUGCCAGGGAGGUUGUAAGCAGGGUUUGAACUAACCCAACACCGUCACCACCUGCAAAGCUUCUAGCACGCUCGAGGGAGAUAAACCACUCACGGGUUCCCUCGGACCAAGGAAACUCAUGUUGGGUUGAUCUCUAUCUCUGACCCAGCCCAACGGCUGGAGCCAGAUCCCCUUUGACCAAGCCUUGAUCGGGGGCGCUCAACCACCCAUUGGAGUGGUGGGGCCCCUGGCGCGCUGCACUAUAAGUAUAGAAGGUGGGGGCCGCAAGCAGGGUGAGAUGAAGUUCGCCACAACACGCCACUUGCCCCACUCGACUCAAACCCUAGAGCCAUCCGAUCCGGCCAGUGCAGCAGCGUCGGGAAGUGCCACUAUGCCGCCGUCCUCCUACGGCGUGCGGACUCGAAGGCCGACUUGAUCUAGACCGCCACCACUGCCUCAACAUCGACGCCAUGGACGCCGUGAUUAUGGUCUAAUCCAAAUCCCCCUAAACCUCUCUGUUUCUCUCUAUGUGUAAUAGAUCUAGUGCAUACAAGUGCAGUUCAACUGCCCAUGAUUAUUUGCUAUAUUUGUUGUAAUCGAAUCCCGAUACAUUCUACUGCUAGAUGAUCCUAAUUUUCUAUCAACCCAGGCAAGUAAUUAACUCUCCAUGAGAUCCCCACCAGAAUUGUCGGAGCUUGCCCAUAUUUCAUGAUCCAUCAUCCAACUCCCCAGAUAAAACCAGAGAGACUGCCAUGCAGGGGCGAAGCUAUGUUCCUGUGGGUGCCCAGGCAUCCACCAACAUUUAGAAAAUCACUAUUAGAAGCAGAUUUCCACCAUGAUUAUAGAUUAAAUUUUCACAACUACAAGAGAGAGGCACCCUCCUCUAAUUUGCUCUGGCUUCGCCCCUGCUGCCAUGCCAUGAGACAGGGAUCCAAGACCCCUGGUCCUCACCUGCCUAGGGUUCAUUCUGAUGCUUCUCAUACCUAGCUACGUGCUGGAUGCAUGGCCACCUACUUAAUUACAACCCACAUUGGAGUAUUGUGACUAUAGCAAACAUACACUGUUUGGCAGUGCUUUCUGGUUUAGCAUAUGUUUGUCUUGCAAUAUAUAUAGGCUCUGGAUUACAUUCGUAGAUAGAAGGAAUUGCAAAUAAAGCAUUUACACCAUCAAUCUAUCAACAGUCAUCACAAUGGCAGGCAUCUUUCCAUUACAAUCCUAAUGUUGUAUUCAAGCUUCUCUACAGUUCUGUACUACUGAUAAAAAAUUAAUUGUAUAUCUCAUCGAUUCUAUAAAGCAUAGUAGAGUAUUCACUACAGCAGAAAACCACAUCUGUGCCAGUUUCCAGAGCUGGCACGACGGGAGAGGCAGCUGGCACACGAACUUAGAGUAAAUUAACGUUAUCAAUGUCGGCUUUGGAAAAAAGCUAGCAUGGAUGAGAUGGGAAAUCCAUUAAAAGCUUGUUCGUCUUCAACCCCUACAUUGUUUAUCUAUUCGACCCAGAUGUUAGUUGCCGCAGCCCUCUGAUUGUGAAUUAAUCCACACCCUUUGACACACAGCUGCUGGCGGCACUUCACUCCAUCUCGUUCGCGUGCACUUGCUCUCUGCCAGUGCUCAUUGGAAAGUGCUCUGUUGUUACUGAGAGUCACCUCGGAUGGUGACCAUGGGAUCACACUGAUGAUGCCAAAGUGGUGAGCUCUGCAGCACUAGUUUGGUUGUAGAUCCUCCAUAUUAAUUCGUAGUUGACAAAUUAAAAUUUUCAGUGUUUGCAACAUCAACAAUGGGUUUGGUGGUUCCUAUCCAGUUCAAACCCAACAUGUAUGCCUGUUCCGAACGUUGUUUGGUCUGGGCCGGUUCGGCACGGGAGUUGAGCGGUUUCAGACCAAACUGUGUAUGUUUGCUAUAGUCACAAUACUCCAAUGUGGGUUUUCAAUGUAUUGCCAAUAUGUAUUGCUAUAGACCCAACAUGUAUUGCAAAUAUUUACCGGUAUCAUAUAGGGAAUUUUCUUUUCUAGAGGCAUGGGCACCUCUGAAACUAUAAUGGAUUCACAGACGCAUGUUUUGCCCUUUUCACCACUGGAUUACAAAAGAGGCCAUGGUCAAUAUGCCUACCAAAUUAAAUCCUAUGCCUACAAAAGAGGCCCGAGUUUCUCUGAUGCUAAGGAUGGUGCAGCCUCACGUCAUGCUGCCUACCAUCUCUGACACAUCGCCGAUUGAUUUCACUAGGAAGCCGCCUGCCAUGUGAUCCUACAUCAUGCCGCCUAUCAAUCUGCAUCGUGCUGUUGCCAGCAAGCAAUUAGUUUGGCACCAUCCACGGGCCUUGCUUUGUGUGGAAUAGAUGGAUGGAAAGGAAAAAAUGGGAUGACCAUGUAAACAUAAAAAGGAUGCAUACCAAUAUAGAUUGAACAUUAAAUUUUUUAUCUAAUAGAGUAGUAGAUGCAUGUAUCAAAAUAUCUUCGGUUCUCAGGUGAGGUGGAAAAACAAACUGUAACUAAGUGAACCUUCACUUUUAUUGCAUUUGUAGGUGUUUCACAUCACUGACCUCUUUGGUUUAUGGCCCCAUCAUUUUGAGCACUUUGCUGAGUAAUGACUAUAUAAUAUGCCCUCUGGAUGUUAAGCUAUAUAUUCACGCACAAGAAUAUAUCUAGCAGCUACAAUGCUCUGAAAGGACUGAAGAUAAGAAGUUAUAGCUAGUGCGGUUCGCUCUUAUCUCUUGCAGACACAUUUUAAGAAACUGUGGCUAUUUAAUGUCAGUGGCAUGUUACACACAUUUUUUCAAGAUUAUGUUCAAAUUGCUCUUUUCAUCAAGCUAGUUUGUGAAUUUGAGGUGUUUAUCAUACUUCAAAAAUAAUGGGGCAUAUAGGCAUGUGAAGCAUCAGUAAACAAGAUGGCAGAAGAUGAGGAGAUUUCGCUGCUGGUGUAACCUGUACUGUGAUUCAUGGUGCAGCUAAAGAUGGACCAUCCCGUUGCAUUGGCCACGGGCUACAGCCCUUGCCCGGACCAAUAAGCCUAUGCCUUAGCAUACCAUUUUGUUCUGUACCAAAAAACAAACUGUGUGGUUGGCAAUGAUGAUCUUGCCGGAGACGCGCACAAUGCCUUCUCGUGUGGCGAAGCUGCAAAGCUCCGAUGACAACGCGGGUGGCUCUAUCCACGGUAGGAUGAUGAUCAGACACGAUGCACUCUCUACCUAGCACUCCAGGUGUAGUGGGUUCGUAAUCAUGUCGAGCAUUGCAGUUGUUCAUCGGAAGUCGAUGUGUGGUUAUUCGAUGGCUCAGACAUUCAUAAUAAGGAAGGAACCCAAUGAUUUAUCAUGGUUGGGGCUUAUGAGCCCUACGUCCAGCAGGUUUAUAGUGAUCUUUGUGAUAGGAAUGCGGGAGGUUACAAUGAUGGAAAUUGAGAGAUAUUGGUAGGGGAUCUCUUGGUUGUAUCCUUUAGUUCGUUCAUCUUCUUCUUCUAGUGAGCAAGAAUCCGGUCUCCCUAACUAAGUUGGGAUUGAGUCUAUGCACCUAAGGAGGGAACAGUGUACAAGUCGUUUUAAGUCUAGUAUAUGGUCUAUGCACCAGGUGCAUCAGAGUCCUUUGUUGUGGCAUCGACUGCCACAACCUACGCAGCCUGUCGCAUAGGGAGGAGCCUACAACAACCGCCUCCUGAUGUCCCUGCCACCAUUCUGAUUGACUGUGAGGGCUUCCGGUUGUGGUGUUGGGUCCUCUGGGUCAUCCUUCUCAAGGGAUCCUUGACUGCCAAGGAGCCCCCACAGAGGGACUGAUGAGUGGGGCCUAGAGCCUUUCGCCUCUAGAAUAUAUUGGUGAUGUCUCUUGCUCUGUUGUGUCAUGCCAGUUGCUAGGCCCUGUCAAGAGAGUGGCAACAGGGCUCGGUGCCCUUUAAACUAGUAGAUGGCUCCGCACCUGGGUGUGUGCUGGGUGGAAGUUAGGCUCAGACCGCCGUCGCUUGGCAUUUCGGUGCCAUGACGAGCCCCUGAUCCUCAAGCAUUGGAUGCAGUCGUGCUUAGACUCGCCCGGCCUGACUCCUUCCAGGGAUGCGCAUGAGCGUAACCAAUGGGUAUAGCCCCCAAGCCUGUUGUCAAUCUGUGGGAUCGGUCGGGGGGGGGGAUCCGUCAUUUGGCAUGUCUUUGAAUGUUCCCCUAUGUUGGAUCCUCGUCACUCAGCCGAGAGACUAUUUUUAUUCGAUUAACAGAAAUGGGCAUGGUCUCUUGCAUCUCUUAUAUGUGGGGAAGCAUCCUACCUAUGAAAAUCUUGUAUAGCCAUCUCUAAUGGUAUAUAUUGUACUAAUGAUACAAAGAAUUUGGUUAAUUAUCAUAAUUGGAUAUUGAUUAUACAUAAUCUAAAUGGAUAUUGCAUUGCAAUUAGAAAUGAAUGCAGAGAAAGUAAAGAUAAUCAAUUUUGAUUAUUAGUUGGACGUAUAGAAUUUAUCUUCUAAAUUUUUAAUAUGUUUGUAACAUAAAAUUCUUAAGGAAACACCCUUUAAGGAAAACAUAAAAAAUAUAUGUGCAAAACCUAUAUGUAUUUAUGUUCGUGAUCCGAAUACCUGAUAUUUCUUCGUAAGUGGUUGUUAAAUUCCAUUAUUGCAGUAUCUGUGUACGCACCACAUCUCUUGCAACCAGUAGUUCUCAUAUAGCAUGAACACCAGUUGUCCUAUUCUUUUUUUUUAUCAUUGCUUAGCUAAGCUUCCUAUAAAUUGGUCUCUUUGAUCACGGGUGUUUAGGGACAAAAUGAAAACAUGGCAAGCUCCUAGAAUAGCAUCUUGUUGCUAGACCUUGUUUAUUAGUUCACAAAAGGAAUAAUUUUGGGUACUGUAGCACAUUUAUAACUAUAGCAAUUAGUGUCCAAUCAUUCCAUCAAAAAAAGUGUCCAAUCAUAGACUAAUCAGGCUUAAAAGAUUUGUCUCACAAAAUACAUGCUUUAUUUAAUGUUCCAUGCAUGCAUCCAAACAUUUGAUGUGAUAGAGUUAAAAGUUUUUGGGUGGGAAUUAAACAAGGCCACAUAUUGGCAUGGAAAGAACCAUGAGUCGAGGUAACCUGCACUGUCGUGCUCAAUGUGUGGUUUCUCAGAGUUCUACAAUACCUUAUGUGUAAUUACAAAAACAGAUGGUUUCUUCACAUUUAGGUGGGAAACUACGGUUGCUAUCACUUUGAUCUAUGAGGUCCAUCUUGGCAUGUGAAGCAUCAGGAACCAAGAUAUCAAGCAAAACAGGUGCUCAUGCCUUGUGAUGUCCUUCAUGUCUACCCGGUGGAUUCGUGUAACGUCCGACAGGACCUUGUUGAAAGACCACAAGCAAAGUUGGUGCUCCAGUCGCAUCUUGUAGUCCACAAUCCCACAUAGGUUCUCAACAACAUCGAUCUUCUACAGAUCUCACAGACCACACUGGCAUCUUAUUGGAGACCUCCUGGAGAGUGAUCUUGCCACUUGGUAGAAGGUCAUCUCUAUAAUCUGUAGUCCUGCUCAAGGAGAUGCACAAACGACAAUGAGCAUGAUCUCCAACCCGUUCAUUGCCCAGAUCUCAAGGUCAAGGCAUUGGACGGUUGCAAUGAAUCCUGUGUCAUCAGCAUGUUGUUCACCCAUGGCAGAGAUAUCCAUGUAAGUUGUAGUAUGUGUUACAAUAUGUGGGUAACCUUGAACAUUUGUACUGCCCAACACAUUCUACAAGAUCACGAACAAAUGACUCGAACACAAUAAUUUCAAAAGACCCAUGCCAAUAACAAGAAUUGGCUGAGACUAUAAUUUUACCCAAUGAUAUGCUGAGGUAAUAUAGCUUUACAUUUUCUACAUUCAACCCCGGCCCCCAACCUAAUUCUUCUUUGUUUUUGACGCUAGUUUCCCCAUGGUCUGUACGCACAUGCUUCACUAUGGGAUAGUAGAAUCUAGGAGAAUUAAGUAAGGAUAUUAAAAUGUUGAGCUUAUUAGUACCUGCAAAUAAAAACCUUAAUUAUAUUUACGUGCACACUUUCUUUGCUCAUUUUAUAGUACUGCAAAUAAUAAAGAUACUAUUAAACCUCUAUAUGGUUGAUCUGAUCAACGUAUCGAUUACACAAUAUUUUUCCCGCAACAUCUGUAGUUUUUAUUUCUCUAUGUAUCACUUCAUGUGUCUUCAAUAUGCAACUACUUGGAACCUGUGUUUAAGUGAUGGAGUCUCCUAUUGCGCACAUGACAUCAUGAAUCUGAUAUUGACUUUAAAUUUUAUUUUAUUAAUUACUUGGUACAAAUCUUUUUUUUUCUUCGUGUCAAGUUAAAGUUCAUCUGCUUACUGUGCAUUUUGACUAGAACUCUUUCAGUAAAAGUUAAAAAUUUAUAUCCUAUGCUGCAAUAUUAACUACAGUGAUGUCAUAAAUAGUCACUUAACAUUGACCAAUAUUGACGGCAGCGUCAGGGCUUGAACUGAGAUAUAAGAGGAGGCAACAAUACAUAUACCAACCUAACAGUCAUUGUUACUCCCACCACCUCGUACACUACUCGAUCAAGAUAUGUUUGUGAUUGGACUUGGCUUUGUUUGUUUGGGCUUCCUAGGAAAUUUAGGACAUCCGUUUUUGGAGCAUUUUCAAAAUAAAAAAAAAACUCCUAGAAGACAAAAGCCAGCAGCUAGUGAGCUUCUAGACUUUUGGCCUUAGGAGCUAUAUAUUUAGCUUCCCGACAUCGUCUAGCUUCUAGUAGGCUUAAAUGAUUCAUGUACUUCUCAUUUCUCAACAUGGAGCACUAGAAGGUAUAGCUUGCAUGGAUAUAUAUCAUGACUUUCAAGAGCAUGUUAUGUAUUUUCUAGAAACAUGUAGUGCACGGAUGGGGUUGUGCACAUGGGCCUCCUUGUCGGUAGUGAGGGAUAGAUGCAUGGUGAUGUAUAAUGUACCUAGCCUAAUGAAAUUUUGCCCCUUAUCAAUUUUAAUGUAAAAUUGAACAUGUUGAAAUCACUAGUACAAAAAAGUUUUUUACACUAGUACACACAGGUAAUAUACAGGCGGUCCGCCACCCCUUUCCAUAGGCGGAUUGGCGAACCGCCUAUGCUGGGUGCCCGUGGAAAUAAAUUUUUUCACAGGCGGGUAAUCUGGAACCGCAUGUAGAAAUCUAUUUCUACAGGCGGUUCAGUUAUGCCACCCGCAUGUAGAAAUCUUUUUAUAGAAAAUGCAAAAUUAACUUUUAAAAAUAGAAAAAAAAAAGAUUUUAAUUAUCAGGAAAGGCCCAUUGGCUAAUCGCGAGUCGCGUAUUUUUUCGCUUAAAAUCGCGCGCUACGUGGGAUUCGAACCUGAGACCUUGCCUAACUUUUAAAAAUAGAAAAAAAAAGAUUUUAAUUAUCAGGAAGGCCCAUUGGCCCGCGCAACGUGGCCGGUGGGAUCUACCCUCCUCUACCACUCUACCUACCACUUAGUUGUGUCUACAUUAGAGUUUAGUUCCCCAUAUAUUAUCCUAAAGCGAGCAUAUAUUGACUAUUUGAGGCCCUAAACGGAUUCCAAUGGAAAAGUUGUCAACUACAAAGGUUGACAACUUUUUCAAGAUCUACAACUUUUGUAUUGGUAGUUUCUCCAUCAGAGAUCAUUUAUAAAAUUUGAAUUUUAAAUUUGAGAAAUUCAAACGUAGUUUUCGACGACAAGAAGAUUUCAAAUGAACUACAAAGUUUUAUAACUUUUUGAGAUCUACAACUUUUAUUUUUACAGUUUUUUCAAACGAGGUCAUUCGAAAAGCUCAAAAAAUUCAAUUUCACAUUAUUUCUACCGGCGAUUUCUACAUGCGAUUUUCUUAAGCAACUUUCAUUUGAAAAGCUUCCAUGUUGCACAAACUCUGAACCCAACAAAAACAAACAGUCCAAGGUGUGAUGGUGUGAGGAUCCUCCCGCGGCCCUUCACCGCUGCCGCACAACGGUCGCCGACUUCAUCGGCCCAGUCAGCAAGGAGAAUGCUGAAGAACGGCCACUCCAUCCGUGCAGUCACGGGUCACCCCCCUUCACGUACUGCAUCUUGAGCUGUUCCACGCGCUUCUUUUGGAUUGAGUGUGCGUGCAACAAGAGACGCAGCUGGCAGCCGUCGGCGGCGGUUCUGCGGCAGCGAGGCUCCAUGGACAAUCCAGUGGACACAAUGAUGGGCAACGGCGAGCGAGGCUCCUUGGCGGCUGCACGACCUGUGAUGGCGCACGAGGUCUCUCACAGGUCACAGCAGCCCGGCAAAGCUUCGCGGCAGCCCUGCUUGGCAUGCAGCGGCGAGUCAAUGAGUGAGGCUUCGUGGCGGCCAGCCUGUGACCACGCACGAGGUCUCGCAGUAGCCUGGCAAGGCUUUGCGAUGGACGCGCUUGGCAGCAGCGAGCCCUCCGCAGUGACGCACAGGCACAUGGGAUCCGCAGGUGCCAAUGGAAACCAUUAAUUCCUUUCCAACACGGUGUGAGCUUCUAGCGAUUUUGGGACGUGUGAAGACAACCAUUUCUCUGUUUUUAGCUCUCUCUUCUCAUUAAAUCGAUCUCUUGCCACAUGAGAAAAAUACAUAUAUGAGAGACCAAUAAUUAAUGUGUAUAGAAAUUAUAUGAUAGUUUCUGCGUUGGGAGUGCUCUAGCCACUAAGUCCAAUUUAGUCCAACAAAUAUAGCUUAGCUCAUUAUCAUUGGCACAAGUACCAUGUAAAAAAAUGUAUCUUCUGUUGCAACUCAACAACGUGUUGUCUACUUAUGAAAAAAGUGUUCUGACCACAAAAAUAAAAGUUCCUUAUGAAGAAAAUAUUUCACUCUUUAUAUCUGACUUGUGUCUUCCACAUUGACUAUAAUUUUUCUCAGAUACAUUUUCAUGAAAUGGUAUAGUCUGCCUACGGAAAAAAUGUACAUGCAGUACAAAUAAAUGUUCAGAAUGUUGUUUGAAAGAAAAACUUAAGGUGGUAGGGUGACAAAACUCCUGGAUAUGAGGCAUUGUGGUAUACAAAGUGGUUUGCCAACAAGUGUUACACUCAGUGCUGCCUAAUAAGAACAACAUUAAUUGUACAUGAGAACAUGGGUGGACGAACUGACUAAUAUAGUCACGUAGCACAACUAACCCCCACCGACCUGCCGCCACUUGCUUAGUUACUACUAUCAGUGUUUCUACAAUUUUCUUGAGUUAUUUGGUUGUGAGAAUGAUAAAUAAUGGUACAACAGAAAGCACAAAGUUGGUAGAGUAGUGAUGCAUCUUUAAUUUUGUCAAGCUGCUUAUAGAGUGGCCUCCUGACAUCAGUAUGUUUAUGCAGAGACAGCUAGAUAUCUUGCUGUGAGAAUAAUGUUUAUGCAAAGACAACUAUGAGAUAAACACAUUUUUCCCUUGUGAGUUGACACGGCAAUCUGUGACAAUUUUCUAUUUGAGGAACAUCUAGUAGGCAUGUGAAGCAUUAGGAAUCAACUUUCUACUUGAGUAGCAUUUGUCUUUGUGCCUAAAGUGUCAAAGCAAUUAUUGAAACCCAGAAUAGAUUUAUAGUGAAGAUUUAUCUGCGUGCUCAAUUGUAUGAUUAGGCUUUUAGAGGCCCUGCACCAACAAUGACAGUGCACAAACAAAACCAACUCGUGGAAGCAUAUUUAUAGCAAUUUCUUCACUUUUGGGCCAUGAACUCCAAUCAGGCGGAGAUAAGCUGAAAAAUAUGCGAUUGUGCCUACCUAGAUCGAGAAUCGAGCAGCACGAUUUUGACUUGGCUGAGAACAGCUUUGAUAUUAUUCCUCUAUUUUUAGGUUCAGUUUUUACUGACAGGGUAGCUUCCAGCCGGGGCUCCAAUUUCGCUGCCUGGUGUUGAUGCUGAGGCACAGGAAGAUGCAAGGACAGUGCGUGCCACCGUGAUCUUGCUCCUGCAGGAGAGACAAAUUGGAUCUCCUGCACUGUCAAGGAAUACCUUGUUUAGGUUGCCCGGAUUGGCUAUCAAAGCCAUAAACUUGUGUUGUACCAAACAGCUAGCUUAGUUAGUGACAAGUGAACGUGGAUACACCAACUUGUGUUGUACCAAACUUGCUAUAGAUAUUGCUGCCUCCUCUGGUUUGCAUCAUAAAUUGACGUCACCCAUUAUCCGUCCCCAGCCAAAACUGGAAAUGUGAAUCAACAAGGACGAGCAUUGGAUGGGUCGUCUCCCGGAGCGCCCCCGCUCGGGCGACCGGCCGGUCCCUCCACCCUUCCCGUCGCCUUCGCCGCCCCCACCUCCGCCGCAGCCUCUGCCGCCGCCAACCCCACGCUCUAAGCCUCCACCCACUGACCCUGCACACCCUCUCCAACCGCAGCCGUCGGCUCGACGGCGUCCUGGUGUCUCCGGCAAGCUGCCCCAGCAGAGGGGCAUCGUUGUCAAGCCUGUGCCAGCUCGGUAUGAACUCCAAAACCGCCUGCUCUCGGACCUCCACGAGUGCAUCGUCCCCAACCUCCUCUCCCCGUCGCCGGCUCCGACGCCGAUCUGGGUAACCCCUCCUUCUCGUGAUCCUCGUUUCAAUGUGUUUUUCAUCUCGAACUCGCUCUGUCACAUGCUUGCGCCCUGUCCGAGUCGCCUUAGGGUCGAUCGUGUGCAGGACUGUGUGUUCGUGGCGUUCGUGUCGAGUCAGAGGUUCGCCGAUGCUCUGGCCAUUGCUGGGAGCUUGCUUAUUGCCAACAUGCACCUGCUCUUCCACCCUGCGCUUGCCGUGGCCGUGGACGCCGCAUCCCGCCUCCCCCCGCUCUCCCAAACGGUCGACCGGCCCGUUCAAAUGGACCGCCAGCCCGUUAGCGCAAACGACCUGGCCUCACCUAACGUCUUUACUGCCGCUGACCCCGCCCUCGAGGCAAUCCGGCUUGGGACAUUACCUGUAGAUCUUCUUUCUGCGUCGCCCAUACCUCUCUCCCCUGUGCCAGGUACGCUGCGCGCGGCGCGACAUCUUGUCGCAGCUAAUGCGGCAGCUGCGGGCACGCCCGCGGCGCGAAGUCUUGUCGCAGCUAAUGUGGCAGCUGCGGACACGCCUUUACCUUCCGACGUCAAUGCUUCUCCACCCAGACCUUGAACCUACCUCGAAGCUGCUUGCUCCCCCUCGGUGCCGCUUCCCGCCUCUGUCAGGCUGCUUAAACCUCUCGCUCCCGCCAGGGGCUGCUUCCGCUGCCUUGCUUCGGACCACCUUGUCGCAGACUGUCGCGAGCCCGUUCGCUGCAAGCUCUGCCGCGCCUACGGGCACAAAAGUCCUCAGUGCAAGAUGAAGCUCAAGGUCAUCCUGCGGGCCGUCGCUCGGCGCCUCCGCACGCCCGCUGCAGACCGUGCAGCCCGUGCGCGCUCUGAGCCUCCCGCUGCUUUGGCGUCUCAGCUGCCGUCGGACAGCCCACUGACGGACUUUGCGCUGCCCGCUUCGUCCGUCGACGACCCCACCAACAUGGUGCCCUCGUCCUCGCUGGCCCCUUUGUCAGUGGAGGUCUUGGGCCCCCAGGACCCUCCCUGCGUCGACAAGUUCGUCCUGGACUCCCCAGCCUCGCCUGUCCUCCUCCCUUUGAGCCAGAAUGCGGAUGCUUCGCUGCCGGCUGUCGCUCAGGCGCUUGAUCUUGGGGCCUCAGCCCUAGGAUCCAACGCCCUGGGUGCUUCCGGUGAUGGGUCGUCUGCCGAGGAGUAUGCUAGCGAGGAGAUGGACUCGGGCACUGAGGCCUCGGGCUCGUCUUGGCAGGAGGGGCGCCCCAGGCAUGCGGACGCUUGGGUUUCCCCAGGGCGCGACGUGCUCACCGAGCGUCUCCUGUUCGCCUUCAUCGAGCCCCCGGCCCCAUGGCUUGACGUUAGUGUGUUGAUCCGUAACGCACUACACUCCAUGGCGCCGCUGAUGGCUGUGGACCUGCUGCCCUCUUCCAUGGGGGCCAUGCUUCUUCGCUGUGCUUCGUGUGCUGAACGCGACUCCCUCCACCUUCUUGGACCUGUCAUCUGCGACGGCUCAGCGCUUCACCGUAAACCCUAACCGUUUCUUCUGUGUCCCUGUCUGGCUAGCCUACGUCUUCGUCAUUGACUUCCCCAUUGAGCACUGGUAUGAGGAGAAAAUCAAGGAAUGCUUCCGUGGGAUUGCGGAGGUUGCCGAGAUCGACCCGGAAUGCCUAACCGGGGAUGACUUCGGCCCCCUGCGACUCCUCCUUGAUGUCAAUGACCAGUGUGAAAUCCCGCGGGAGUUGCGCAUCUCCUGCAAGGUCGGCGUCAGUCGGUUCGGUGCUGUGGCCAAGAUCCUCCCAUGCAGGGUUUGGCCUCGUGAGUUCUAGCUCGACAGCAGGGGGAAUCUCGCGAGAUUCUUCGGCCCUCCCGCUCCGCCGGCUUCUGGUCCUUCUCUGGGGCCUAGGGGACCUCUUAGCAGUUUGCAGCAGCAACGGCCGCAGCCGCACCCCUACAGCUUAGCCUUCCCUCCCUGCUCCUCGCAAAGCCACGGCAACUCUCUGCGGCGCGCUUUCGACCCCCUGGGUCUCUUUGCUGGCCAAGCUCCCUCAGGCAGCAACUCCACCGCCUCUUCCCCUGUGUCCGCGCAAGCCUUGGCGGCCUCGGCCUUAACCCUCGUGCGCGCCCUCGCGGGUCUGGCUCCCGUUCUGGCUCUCGGGCUCAAUGAUGCUCCCCUACCUAAACCCUCACGCCAGGCAAAUAACCUCAACUCUCCACCUUUGCUUUCGCCCAGUGCUGCGCUCGACAAGCCUCUAAUCACCUACCAGCGUCAUCACGCUCGCCCAGCUGUGCGCACCCCGCUGGUCAACGUGGCGCGCCGUGGAUGUCCGCGGCGAGCUUCCAAGGAUUUGCACACCUCUGCAGCCAUAGGCAUUGCUGUAAGACGCCCAAGUUCCCGCCUCGCUGCCAAAGCCUCUGGGGCUUUCGUCGACAUGACGUCCCAAGCAGUGCAACGCAAGGCGCUACUCAACUCGCUCAACGGUUGCUCCGUCAAGCUCAGGAAGCAUGUCACCAGCCGGAACAUCCUGUCGCAGAACCGGAUGCCUAUCGACGCAGCAGAACUCCGCAAGCUGGUCUCCGCUACGAUGCUGGGUGGCAACAACGCCGAGCAGAAUGCAGACGUGGUGACUGCGCCCGCUGAAUGAUCACCUCGGGCGCGUCUGUUUACCUCAGUGGCUCGCUCUCUGGUCCCAAUGAUCGCUGGGAACGUGGCAGCGGAAGAGCACCUACUCUUUGUUUUAGCUUUCGCUUAGCUCAUUUUUCUGUUCCUCUUGCUAUGUAUCCCAGGCGUGUUGCCUGUGACUGGUGUUGCUACUCUUUCUUAUGAGUCAGAACCUGCGCUCCUACGAUCGUUGCUUUCGCAUUGUUUCCUGGAACGUUAGAGGUCUUAGCGACUCGGACAAAUGCAGAAUUGUUCUCUGAUGCGAAACCAAACAUUGUCUGUAUCCAAGAAUCUAAACUCACUGAUUUCUCGCUUUUCAAAGCUCAAACGUUCCUCCCUCGUCACCUCUCCUCUUCUCUCGCCUCGGUGAACGCUGUUGGAACCCGUGGCGGUUUGAUCACUGCCUGGGAUCCGACCCUCUUCACCCUAACCUCCCACUCUUCGAACCAGUUCUGCCUUUCUACCUCCCUCUCCUGUAAUGCUUCCAAUUAUGAUUUCACCAUAACCAACGUCUAUGGGCCCUCUGAUCACUCCCUCACCACCAGUUCCUGUAGUGCCUCCGUGUCACCAGGAUGGCCAUCAAGGGUGCCUGGAUUUUGCUGGGUGAUUUCAAUCUGGUUCGCCAGCCCGCAGACAAAAGCAAUGGCAUCAUCAACUCUGCCCUAGCAGAUGCCUUCAAUCAGACCAUCGAUGAGCUGGCGGUAACCGAGGUCAACUUGUGUGAUCGCUGUUUCACUUGGACAAACAAGCAACUUUUUCCAAUUCUCGCAAAAACUUGACAGAGUUUUUACCAAUGUUUCCCUCGAUCAGCUCUUCCCGCUGGCGAGUCUCGCCUCCCUGCCUCGUCCUACCUCAGAUCAUACACCCUUACUCCUGUCCAUUUCGUCCAACAUCCCCAUGUCCUCUUCCUUCAGGCUCGAAAGCCACCUCCUCAAGAAUGAAAGCUUCCUCACCUCCAUUGUUCAGGCUUGGCACCAGACUCCGACGUGUCCAGACGCUGCAGAGCAGCUUGUCGCGUGCAUCAAGUCCUCGAGGGCCGCGACUAAGGUUUGGAAAAGGUGUAACAGGGCACCACCACAAAUUAUUCAAAACUGCCAAUUCAUCAUCCAACUUUUUGACUAUUUUGAAGAAACCCGCCUUCUUUCAGCAGCUGAGUUUCAGGUCCGCCUUAAGGCCCAGGAGCGGUUGCAGCUGGAGAUCAAGGCCAAAGCAGCUUACUGGCGACAGCGCAGCAAGCAGAAACACAUCAAGGCAUGCGACGAAAACACUGCAUACCACCAUGCGCACGCAACCAACAGAAUGCGCCGCAAGUACAUCAGAAUGAUCAGAGUGGAUGGUCAAGAGAUCGCUAGUCACGUGGGGAAGACGGAGGCGCUAUCAACCUUCUUCAAAUCUAUCAUUGGCUUGCCAGGCCACGCUGCACCAAUCGACCUGGAUCCCCUCUACGUGGGCUCUGCUAGGCCAUAUGAGGCCCUUUCGUCAGCCUUCUCAUCUGACGAGCUCAAGCAGUCUGUGUUUGCAAUGAACAGACUAAGUGCACCAGGGCCCGAUGGCUUUGGCCCAGCUUUCUUCUAUGCAGCCUGGAGCUCAGUAAAGGACACAGUUCUAGCCUUUACAGAUGCUUUCUACAAUGGCACCGCUGAUCUAGAUAGGAUCAACGGAUCACACAUGGUACUCUUGCCAAAGAAACCUGAUGUCGUGGAAGUCAAUGCCUUUCGGCCAAUUUGCCUGCAGAACUGUGCUCUCAAGAUCAUUUCUAAAACCCUGACAACCAGGCUGCAGUUUGAGAUUCCAGGCCUCAUUGACAUCCAGCGAACGGGUUUUGUGAAGGGUAGAUCCAUCUCGGACACCUUCAUCUACGCGGUCGAGCUCGUUCAGACUUGCCACAAAAGAAAAAAGGCUGCAAUUGUCCUCAAGCUUGACUUCGCUAAGGCCUUUGAUACUGUCAGCUGGGUCGGUCUCCAGAAAGUACUGUUGGCAAGGGGUUUUGAUCAAAGAUGGAUUUCGUGGAUGAUGAGCCUUCUCAACUCUACCAAGUCGGCGGUGCUAGUGAACUGGACCCCAGGACCUUGGAUCACCUGCAAAAGAGGGCUUCGUCAAGGGGAUCCACUGUCUCCCUACCUGUUUAUUUUGGUGGCCGAGACGCUGUAGUGAAUGUUCAAGCAACUAACAGAUAUCAGACAUCCAACCGAUGAUGGUAUGCCUUGUGUCGUGCUGCAAUACGCUGACGACACUCUGAUUGUCUUUAGAGCCGAGGCCACCGCGGCUUCCAGAGUCAAAGAAAUUCUUGAUCAGUUUGCGGACUUGAGUGGGCUACAUAUCAACUUCAGCAAGAGCACACUGACUCCAAUCCACACGGCCGAAUCAACUGUUGUUCAGUGUGCUCAGACUCUGGGAUGCACCAUUGGAGAAUUCCCUCAAUCCUACCUGGGCUUGCCUCUGUCCGUCUCCAAGUUGCCUAUUUCAACUUUCACGGUGUAUAUCCAAAAAACAGACAAGUUCCUGAGCUCUUGGCAAGCGGACCUGCUGAACCCGAUGGGAAGAUCAGUGCUUGUCAACUCGGUAUUGGACUCUCUGCUGGUAUACCUAAUGAGCUCCCUGCAAGUCCCAGUGGCAACGAUCGAGCUCAUGGACAAAAAACGCAGAGCCUUCCUUUGGUCUGGUGACAAAAAUGGCAGAUCCUCCCCGGCAGCCUGCCUCGUGGCUUGGAUAAAAGUAUGCUACCCAAAAGAGCAGGGUGGACUCGGCAUUAGGGACCUCGGGAUCCAGAACAUCUGCCUACUCCUAAAGCUAAUCCAUAGGUUGCACUGCCCACAGUCUUCUACAUGGGCUUCUUGGGUGCAAGGUCGUGCAUCCUUGGUUACUCUCACUGGUGAUCUGUUUGGAGACCAUUGGAAGACGAUGCAGGACCUCCUGCCGUUAUACCAGGCCAUCACUUCCGUGGUCCUCGGGGAUGGUCGUAAUUACUCCUUCUGGUUUGAUGUCUGGCUGGGAGACGAAUGCAUGGCAUAUAGAUACCCAGAGCUGAUCACUCACUGCACGAACUCUUCGCCGUCCGUCUAUGACAGUCUCAGCUGGGGACUACAUUCAGUUCUUGUGCCCAGGCUGUCGGUGAUUGCUAAUGUUCAGUUACACUCGGUGCAACAGCUGCUGAAUCAAACGGUUCUCUCCAAUGAACCAGAUAAAAGGCAAUCCCCCUUCCUCAAGCCGGACCAAAGCUUGGACACUGCAGCUCUCUACAGGAUGAUCAAGGCAAAAGGACAGGAGUCUGACCCCAAGGCAGUGUUCAUCUGGAAAAGCAUGGCACCCCAGAGUCAAAAUGUUCGUGUGGGUCCUAAUGAAAAGGAAAAUCCAAUGCUGGGAAGUCCUUCUCAAGAAAAGAGUUGUUGAUUCUGCAAUUUGCGAGAUCUGCAGCUCUCAUGUUGAGUCUCCAGAACACAUCAUCCAUGGCUGCUCAAUUGGGAAGGAGGUAUGGACUCGGCUGCGUCUACAGUCCAUGCUGACGACGAACGUGUCCGAAAUGCAUAUGGUCAGCAACCGAUCACCAUCGCCUAUACCUGAGUUGCCUACUUUCCUCUCCCUAAUCUGCUGGCACAUCUGGAAGGCAAGAAACGCCCGUGUUUUCAGACAAGAAACAGUGUCAGUCGACCAACUGCUCAUUGAUUGCAAGGCUGCAGCUGAACUCUAGCAGUUUAGAUUCCAUGUUUCCAAGAGGUCUGUGGUGCCUCGCUUGUGUAACAUCCUUAUGAUGGCUAGACAGGAGUAAAGUUAGAAGAUAGAAACAACUAGCCUCUCCAUCUGCAACUUCGCUGUUGCGUUUAUUGUAAUUACUACCGUUUUUACGAGCCGUUUUGGGCUAAAUCAAUUGAUUUUCAGGUGUAGAACAACUCCCCCCCCCCCGUUGAACCUCAAAAUAAAAACUGGAAAUGUGACACCCAACCCAAAUCGAUGAAUGCACUUUUUUCAAAAAUGUGCACUGAGAUUUAGUUGUGUUCACCAGUCAAAAUAUUCAGGCAUUCAUCCACCUCUGGAGAUGGCUGAAGUUGUCAAUCAAAAAUCUUGAGGUGGCUGAAAAUCUUUGCUACCACUAGAAAUUGAUUUGCUGGGCAGGCUGGAACUUCAGCCGCCUCCAAAAACACUUUUCAAAUGUUUAUAACUUAUUUUGUCAAAUUUCAAUUAUCUUUUCCCGCCCGUACUUAGAUAGGUGGUUUUGACUUCCAUCUGCCUCAGGAAAUAACACCACACAAUUAUUCAUAUUGUCAACAUAACUCUUGUCAUAAUCGUCACUAAAAUGGUUUUGUAGAGGCUAUUCAUUUGAUUGGGCCCAAUGGAGGAUUCUAUAGAGGCAGCUCUUAGAGCAAGUAUUAUAAGUCCUUCUCAGCAGGCUGUAACGUGAUCCACGUCAUCAAAAUCCUAUGUGGUAGAGAGAGAAAUAAAGAAAGAGAAGGAAGCUGACGUUUGCCUUACCAUCGAGCGUAGCACAUGUACUGAGAUAAAUGGGUUGCAUGCACCAUGCAUGGACCAAUAAAAUACUGUUUCAUCCCUGCUAUCCUGCUAGUAGUAAAUGUUAACCGCUCACCUCCUAGCCCGCCUUACUGUAUGUGAUGGUUUUGCUGUCUCACAUACAGCCCGCUUGCAGUCGGUAGUCGCCGUUGCUAUUAACCUUGCUCUUAAUAGAUCAGUCUCUCAUGCAUAGAAAACCCUGGCACAUCAAAAAGAUCAAUUAUGUAGUAGUAGUGGCUCUCUAUAAAAGGUCUUCUCGAGCUAGCACAAUUAUGCAGAGUGAAACCUAGUGGUAGGAACAUUUGGUACCUAUGUAUUGAUGUGAAAAAGCAAAAGAAUACUGCUACACGAUCGGCCUUUAGUCCAGGCUAGGAAGGGGCUUUAGCCCCGGAUCCCAAGCCGGGACUACGCUUCCGGUACCAAAACUGCUGAGACUAUUGGCGAUUUUGGCAAUCGUCCAAAGGCCUCUUCUGUAGUAGUGGAACGAGGAGAUGAUGUAACAUCGUAGCUGUUUAGCUUAAGGAACUGCAGAUGAAACGAAUCAAUGUUUAUUAAAUUGAUUGGUCCAUCAAUCAUAGAUCCUCCUAAUAUAUGGGGCUUCUGGGCAUGUGAAGCAUCAGCAAACACAUUGGGAGGAGCCGAUGAACAACCAGUAGAAGUAUUUGAUUAAGGCCACCAUCUCAUACGGAGGAGCCUAAUGUCUCUGAUGGUAUUCCAAAACGUGCAUUGAUCAACACUGGAACGAAACAACUUCACAACUGUGCUGGUUGGUUCAUCCGGCAGCAACGAGAGUUAUCGUCGCAUCCCUGAGUCUGCAGAGACGACCAAUGUGGAGCCUGCGACAGGUUGAAACACGUCUAAGAGAAAUGACAUUAUCUUCAGAAAUAUGGCACAUACAAUUUCAAGAUGCAAAGCGGUCUUUCAGAAGGAGUUUGCUCUAGUUAUCCUACGAGCAAAAGCAAGAUAUCUCCACUCAAUAGAUUUAUGACUAGACAAUUUUGUGUAAUCUUAUUUAUUUUUUUCGUUUCCUUUUUUGUACCUUAAUGUUUGUACUCGGUGCUUCUCUUUUUAAAGUUUCAAUAAAAUCCCAGUAGGGGCGGAGCCCCUCCUGUUUUCCUCAAAAAAAACCGGGCCUUCACCAGCAGCCUCCAAUGCUAGUUGCCACGUCCCCUACAUCCCAAACCUUGCUGGAUGCUGGCACACCCUGCUCCGCUCAACCAAGAAACUGUCCGGUUACUCUAGUAAGGCAUUAUGCCAAGAUUCAAAAUUUAGUGUGUGAUGCCGAUCCGGACUCUAGAGUGCAUUUCCUUUUUCAAAUUGAAAGACAAGUUCCAGUUUAAAAAUGGAAUGAUGGUACCAUUUGAGGGGCAAAAGAACUUUGAAUGGUACAGGAGUUUUUCAUACUACAACACAAGUUUAGGGGUCCAUGCAAAAAACAGAGUAACUAUUGUUUCUUAUAUUACAUCACUGUCCCCAGUUGUCGUUUUGCAUUCUUUUUUCUGGGUAUUGUAUUGGUUAAUAGAGUAACAACUGAGAACACAUGGUAGGUGUUAAGGUUAGUAAGUGUAGCUGAGCUUAGCUGCCUAUAAAAUGCCUUCAGGGUCAGAGCUGUUUACACACAAAAGGAAAUAAUGGCUUACUACUGGCCAGAACAUCAAGUAGCCAAGAGGCGAGGUAUCCUGCACCACCCAUUUGGCAUAGAUGCUCAUCUUGCAGUACCUGAUGUGUAUCACAUGAUAUCUUUCUCAUGCUUAAGUGGGAAAAUUUGGUUGAAUGACUACUUUGAGGGCCACACAUGUGAAGCCUGAGGAAACUAGAUAGACAUGAAGCAAAGUAGGUGGACAUGCCUUGUGACAUCCUUCAUGUCCAUGCGAUUGUUUCAACGUUCUGGAUACUUUCCAAUCAACAUUAUGGAUACAUUCUGGAGUCCAGAACAAAUUUUAUAGACUGCGAACUAGAAAAAGACAUGGCAUAGAACAAUCAAUCAUUUUGCACCGGGAUUCAGUUGUGUGGACCAAUUAAAAUACUCCUUUUUAGGAUGAUAUAUUUGGCUGAAUUUUGGCCGUAAUUCCCCAGAGAUUCAUCAGAAUGAAGUAAAUGGCUCCAAACUAGUUUUGUUGUCUCUGUAAAUCAGGUAGGGCUCACCCUUCAUAAAUAAUUUCUAGUGGCAGAACUGAGGAGACCCGGAUCUCAAAGCAUGUCCCUACAAUGGAGGCCUAGGCCAGCCAAACGAAACAUAACAGCAGCACUUUGCCCUCUCUCCCCUCACUUCCUCCUUUAUAGCCAGUAGCUAGGCCACGAGAGUUGCUUGGUGAGCUUCUGCCAGGUAAAGAAAUUUUUGAUUUGCUAUUUUUUGGUCCAAGUUUCGAAUGUGUACUAGAGAAAUAAAAGCUUCCACUAAGCACCUUCCUCUGAGCACUACAAGAAUUAUAACAAUACUCGAGGUGAACCAGACAACCGUCAUCUGACAAUCCCAAAAGGCAAGGGUGAACUCGACCUAUCUGCUACCAAACAAUAUUAUGCAUGAUAUACGCAUCGGCAUUAGCCCCACUAACUGCAUGACAUCUCAAGAAAAUAUUUAAACAAAUGCCUUCCAACUGUGCGUAAAGGAUUUCAGUCUUAAUUCUUUUAAUUUCUUCUAUCAUAUUACUUUUAAGCUCUCGAGUGCUUUGUCACGAUGAUUUUUUUAGGACACCUAAUUUACAUUGGGUUUUGCAUAUUUAGGACUCUUUAUUUUCAGGAUCUUCUCUGUAAUUUAUUUUCUAAUUUGUUUCCACUAUUCAAAUAGCACCAAAACCAUCUGUUCUAGAGAUGAUCAAGAAUUACAUGUGUCACGAGUCCCAAUCAUGAGGUGUUCCUUGGCUACCCUUGAGGGACUACUCGUGACCUUAAGAUGAUGUGCCCAAUGCAAAAACAGUCGAGGAAAGUAAUUAUGUCUUGGAGCCAAUAGGCAAAUCUCAUCAAGUAUACAUCGACAGAGAAAUUGCUUUUUCCUGCGAGUUCCACUGACAGAAUCUUUAUCCCCCUUUUUUUGAAAAAUCAUGGCUGAAAUUACUGUUCGCUUCUUUGUUGUGAGAAAAAAACACUACUGCUGAAUGGCUGGCCGCUGGUAGAUUCGGCAGAUAAGCUCAAGCGAACAGAAAAUCAUAAUUAGUUCUGGAAGAUUGUCGGGAAGAUUCUGGUUAAUUAUUUACCCUGUAGACUUGGUAUCAGAAGGAUAUACUAAUUUUAAUGGGUUUACUGUAAUUUAUGUGUCAACCAACCAUCAAGGAAAUAUUUAUAUUUUUGUCGGUUUACGUAAUUUUCUUGUAGAUCUCCAUUCAAGGAAAAAAACUUUUUUUUGGUUCUACGCAGUUUCUAUGUUGGUUUCCCUCCAAGAAUUGCAUAGACACUAUUUUUCACAACCGAUUAGGUGAAAGAUGCAGAAGAAAUGAUACUAUCACCUGCUUUUUAUGACAACCUCAUGGGUCCACCAAAUGCCGAAACUGGUUUUUGAAGGGGGGUAUGCACUGGUGGUGACGUUCAUUUUCUAUAUAUAUAGGAUUGGUAGUAUUACAGAGCCAGGCUGUUCCUUUUUUUUUUUGGCUGUGUGCUUUAUGCAGAGGUCAGAUAUGGAUUCAUAAGUUUUAUAUCAGCUCGGUGUAAGGUCUGUGAAUUGAUAAAAUUCUUUAUAAAAAAAAUCUAUUAGAUGUAGAUAUAUUUAUAAAUAUAGGAUGGAUGUUGAAAAAAAAAACACCACCACCGCACCUGGCCUCACAUACAUAUUGCCAUUGUCAUUAUUUUUUUGGCUUGUUGCAUUAUUGAUCUCAUUAAAUUGGCGUGUCUGUCCUUCACUGCUGAAUCAUUUAUUUAUCGCCUGAUUGAUAAAUAGUAGUACAACACAAAGCAUAGUACGUAACAUAAUGGACCAGCAUCUAUUUGUUUGGCUGCCUAUAAAAUGUUCUCUUGAGCCCAGCACAAUUGUUCAGAGAUGAUAUCUGGCUGCGGAAUAAGAUUGAUGAGCGAGCACGGCCAUCUCAUAUCCCUUUGUGUGGUUUUAGAAACCGCAAGAAUCAAAAAUCAAAAAGGAAAAAUGCAGAGAUACGCACAGUUUUCCUCUGUCAGGUGUGUCUGUGUGUGUGCAUGUGAAGCGUUAGGAAUCAAGAUGGAGAGCCAACAGAAGAAGAUGGAGAGCCAACACAAAAAGGAAGGCGGGGGCGGCUGUUUCGGGCAAGGAGAUCAAAUCCAAAUAUGGUUGGGCCGGACAGGAUGCCUUAGGCUCAAGGACCCGCGCGGGCCAUUCUAGGGGAAAAGCCAAGUGACUGUCACUCGCGAGCCCCUCAUCUCUUCAGCUUCACCGUCGUUCUCGGCGUCAUCAGGCACAAUGACAACCUCAUCCUCACCUGCAUCAGCAUGCUUCUGCUGCUGAAAAAUCUUAAGUAGUCACUCAACCCCAGCCCUCCUAAUUGCUUUGAUUCGAUAAUAAAGGCCCUCAUUCUUCCCCUAGUGUUGAAUUAUGCGUUCUGCCUUUAUUUUUUUUUUUAAAAAAAGAUACAUGACAAUAUUGUCACUAGCAACUUUGUCGAAUGGGUUCUGAACUUCAUUCACUUUCAGAGUUCCUGUCGCAUUUCAUUAAUUAAGUUGUCAAGUUCAUUCAGUUUUUUAUAGUUGGUGCAAGGAACAUUACAAGACAGGAAAACUCGAAUCCUUCUAAGCACAGCACAACUUAUGCCAAGUCCACCGGAGCACAGCUCUUGUUCAGUUUCAGUUGUCAAAAAAAAAAAACUCUUGUUUAGUUGGAUUUGUAAUUUGUUAUCGCCAUGGUUAUUUAGUUAAGUCUCGCUCCUCACGCACCCAGCGCCGGUGGCGCCAAAGUGGGCUCCUUCACCCAGAGGUCAGGCUGUCCAGCUGAAGAAUCUACAAUAUCAUGAUCCAUGGCAGAGGUCACCGGCAAAUGCUGUUAGAUUACAUAGAUUAGAAAAUGAAACACAGAGGUGAGGGACUCACUUGAGCCACCCAACUGCGACGGCACGGCGGCGGCAGUGGUGGGCGUCCAGGAUUCUGCUGCUACAAGGGACUCCGCGGCAAACGUGCGGUCGUUGCACACGGCGCAGUCGCACCACAGCACGGCCGGCGACCUCGGGGACGACGGACGCUUGGGUGUCUUCGGCGGCCGAUUGAUGCGGGGUCGUGUGGCGCCUUCCACCUCUGGCGGCGACGGCAGGGCGGCAGUAGUGGCCAUCGCCCACGAAGCUUCUGCCGCCGUGAGCAACUCCUCCGGAGCGAGGGUCUGGUUGCACAGCUCACAGUCGCACCAUGUCACGGCUGGCGGCGACCGCGGCGACAGCAGCGUGUGUGCAGGUACAGGCCGGUACUUGUGGUAGCGGCCUGCUUCUACCUCGUCUGCCUGUGGCAGCAGCACCAGCACAAGAAGCAUAGCGACGACGACGACGAGUGGAAGCCUCCUCCCGAAAGGAUCCAUGGUGAACAGUAGCAGACGGCCAGACGGGACCAAGAAGAAUUCUCCGGCGCAGUCGUCGACUCGUCGCAGCGGACACCGGACGGCGAAGCUGAGUUGCAAUUGCAGUUGCAGGGUGGAUUCAGGAUUUAUAAGCUCAAGUCGCCCGUCAUUCAGAUGUCAGUCGCGAAGGCAAAGCGUGUGGGCACUCAACCACAACAUUCAGUCAACACGAGAAUAGACGCGCCCAUGCUCUCCGUGCCGGGCGCUCGCGGAGCCGCCGGAGAUGGGAGAGAAGACCAACGUUUCACACGACACGAGUGGGCCAAGGGCUUCUAGAAAAAAAGUGAAAAACACCUCCAAGUCCCAACCAACUGUCAGCUCUCUGCACUGGUGUGUGUAGAAUCAAUGAAAUUUGCUUUACAGAGCGCACCAGUAGAAUCAAUGCAUUUCACUCGAAAAUCAGAUAAACUAGCCACUUUUGUAUUCCACCUGGUUGGAUUCUACUACUGGUGUUCUGUUUGGAGCACCUGGUCAGGGCCUCCAUGUAAAUAGAAGUUAUAGAACAUCUCAUCCCACUAGGGUAGAAUAGAAGCACCCUGAAUCAUCAUGGCAAGAUUCGUCAGUCUUCAGUUCGGGCAGUAGAGAGAGGAGGAGCGGCAAAAAACAACCGUAGUGUUUCAAUCCAACAACCAGAACAUAAACGAACUCAAACAUAAUGGCUGUCUCUCUGAACUUAAUAAACAAAAAGAGAAAAAUACACUGACGGCCCUUUAACUUGUCAGUCUAUGCCACUUUGGUUCAUGAACUUGUAAACUCGAAAAAGUGACCCCUGAACUUGUCCGCCUGUGCCACUUUGGUGCAUGAACUUGCAAACGCAAAACAGUGGCCCCUGAACUUGUUGGCCUGUGCCACUUUGGUCCAUGCGUGUAAAAGGCUCUUUCAACGCGCCAACAAAUAUUUGUUUAUUUCAUAACUAAUUAUUAGUGAAAUGCUAAAUUCAUGAAAUGUUUUGUGUAGCCUCUUCAUGAUGUACUCUGCCUAGAAAAAAUAUAAAACCUAGAAAACGAAUAAUUUUUGCUUGUUUUAAAAUUAUCUCUUUUAAUUAAUAAAUGCAACAAAUUGAUAUAUUAUUUGAUAUAUUUGACGCUAUGAAUAAAAAUAUAUCAAUUUCGUAAAUUAAAAAAGAAGUGUUGACAUCAUCGCUGAUGUCAACACCAUAAACGGUGCCAUGCAUGGCCUACCAGAGGCGGCCAUGUGGCAGAACAGUGUCAUGCAGCUGGUGUUAUUUUCGUAUUUGCAUGUUCAUGGACCAAGGUGGCACAGGUCGACAAGUUCAGGGGGCACUUUUUCGCGUUUGCAAGUUCAUGGACCAAAGUAGCAUAGGCGGACAAGUUCAGGGGUCACUUUUUCAAGUUUGCAAGUUCAUGGACCAAAGUAGCACAAGCUGACAAGUUAAAGGGCCGCUAGUGUAUUUUACUUAUACUGAAAAAAGAAAAAAAAACAAUCUUUAUCAGUUUCUUUUAGUGGCCCUUGUUCGCAAAUUUGGCUGCCACCACUGCAUCGUCGCCACGUGCCAACCCUCGUCCGGCUCGAGCAGGCUGAGGGUGAACCUGACCGUCAGCUCCCUGUCUUCCUCGGCCUCGCAGAGGUGUAUACACGGCUACCAGAGCUCGUCUUCACGCCCAAGCUGGGCCUUGUACGCGUUUGUUUGGCCGCCGGGCUCGAGUACUCCUUCUGGGCCCGGCCUGCUUGUUGUUGCCGUGUGCGAUGUCAGGAUCGGCACCGGCAUCUUCAGGCUCAUCUCCCAGGUUGCUGACAGAUAUCAGGGAUUUUUGAUGCAUGGGAAGCAGCUACCAUUGCUCAUGAGGUAUUGGUCAUGGUGUGCACUGAUCCAAAAAAUGGAUUGAUUGAUGCCGGGAUCAAACUUGAGAGGUAAUGAAAUUAAAAGCGCCUAUUAGAUCUCGUGAAAAUGCUGAAAGGUACAGAUGUUGCUCACCACAAAAAUUUGUUGCUGUAUAUACAUGAAUGAGUUUCCUUACAAAAUAUCGAACCACGGUCAUCUCCUUCAUGCAUGGUUAGUUCUUCUAAGCAUUUAUGUGUUUAUUUUGUAGUGCAAUGUGCUCAUGCUGGUCGUUACUAUUUGCAGGUUUUCGGCCAUCUCCCUUGCAGCUGACGUUAUAGCUUCAGCAAAAUGUGUUAGCAUUGUUCACACUCUUUCAUCCAGUUCAUAUGCUCUGGUAUCUGUAGUGUAUGGUUCUCUGAGGCUUGGUUUUGAAUCAGUUAACCUGCUAUAUUAUAUUCUCGAAGCCAUCAAUUGCAUGGUAUCAAAAGUGAGACUGAAGUCUGAAUUCAUGAGCUCAGAGAAAGUCACCAUGAAAAUAGAUGAUUUCCCAGUAUUAAGCUGUUCUGAUGCACCAGUGAGAUGAAAUGCAGGUCAAGAGUUGGAUAUUUAUAAGAGAAUACAUCCAAGAUGAAGUUCAUGGAGCUAUGCCUGAUCCUCAAGUCCUUCUCAACUUACUCUCUUGUACUAGCCAGAAACAUCAAAAUUACUCUCAGAUUAUAUACGAAAGAAAAAUGCUCUACUUUCUGAGCCUCCUCAAAAGAAAAGAAGAUGCAGUCCUUCCAUUGAGGUUGAUGAUAUUAUUAUUGGUAGCACUGAUGUUGAUAAGGACUCAUCUGAAGAACAAGACCUGGACUUAAAAAAUGACGGCAUGACCGCCUUGUGUUGAGAUAUGGAGCUUGGAUAAACAAGAUCCGGAGACAAAAGAUGCAAAUGUUGUAGAAUUUCCACUCGAAGUUGCUGGAUGUUCUCAGGCUAAAUUCAAUUAUGUUGUUUGUGCACUUAAUGGAUGUUCUGAAUUCUUCUUCUUAACUUCACCAGAUUUUUUUAGUGCAUGUCCCUGCUAGUCUCUACUUCUAUAAUUGAUGGGAUUCAUUAGUAGUUUACAGCAGUAAUAUUAUCAAAAUCUAAUUUUCUUUCAGGGGGUGAUGCCUAGUUCUUGCUCCUCCAUGCAAGACCACACGCGAAAUAGUACCGGAUAAGAUGGGUCAUACCAUCUAUUUAGGUAGGUCUGUUUUUAGGGGUGGUUAAUAAAUUUAUAGCGGCGAUCCUCCUAAGAGACCGACUUUGAAAAUUGAAAUUUUUUAGAGGCAGUUUCAUAAAAAGAAUCGCCUUUGAAGAUACGUCUUCAAUAGCGGUUCUCUUAAUAAAACCGUCUCUGAAAAUGGACAUGUUUCAGAGACAGAUUUGUUUAUUGAACCGUCACUGAAGAUGGAUUUUCAGAGGCGGUUACAAAGCUAUAGUCCCCCGGCGUGAUCAGUGGCGGCUUGCUAUGUGAACCACCUCUGAUAUAAAAUGGUGGCGUCACUAAAGAGAUUCAUAUACUAGCGAGAAUAAUCAUAUAGAUACACUGAAAUUCUAUCCGGGAGCUGUAAAACACUAUAUAUGUUAUAUAGAUCCAUACCCACAGUUUUGUCCACGUCCGUGUCUUUCAUACACAUUUAGUUAAUACCUAAUAGUUUAAUUUAUGGUGUCUUUUGUUGCAGCACUUACAUGAUUCUUUUUAGGUGGCAUUGCAUUUUUGAGAUUGGAGGCGGGCAUAUCUUUUUGCUCGCCUCCAAUGUUCCCAGCAUGGCUAGCCCCGGCCGGCCACCCAAAGGCUUCACCUAUCCAUCCACUGAUGGAGGUCUUUCUGGUUGCAAACGUCACCUCCAUUAAUAAAAAAUGACUACCUCCAUUAAAAUUUCAGUACUAGUGUGUUAUGACUUUGAAAGUUUGAUCUUAUUAUCGGGUACAAUUUUUUAUACAGAACUUAAGUUGAAAUUUACAUCGACGCCAUCAUGAACAUUCAGUAGACACUACCAGAAUCUAGCUCUUUGCCAAGUGUUAAAUGGUUUACCGAGUGUUUUUUCAGCAUUUAGCAAAGAAUCUCUCUGCUGAGCCCAAAAAAAAGCACUCGAUAAAAAACACUCGGCAAAAAGGAUGUGAAAAAACAUGCGGCAAACGAGGACAUUGCCUAGUUUUUUUUUGACACUCUGCAAAGAAACCUCUUGGCCAAGUAUUUUUUGACACUUGGCAAAGACCUUCAUUGUCCAGUGUAAAAAAACACUAGGCAAAGAAAAAUUCAAAUCAAGUUUCAAAGCCCUAAACAAAUUCAAAAUCCAAAAAUUUUCAACUACAAAAUUAUAUAACUCUCUCCAGGUCUAUAACCUUUAUUUUAACCAUUUCUUCAUUUGAAAAAAUAAAAAUAAAUGUGUUCAUAAAUUUUACAUAUCUCUCUUAUAGUUUAUGAAAUUACAAGAGAGAGAUAUAAGUUUUGUAAAAAAUGUUAGAAUCACCAUAUCGGAUAAACAAAUAACCAAAUAACCAAUAUAAUAUUUUGUAGAUCUUGAGAAGCUAUGAAAUUUUGUAGUUGGCAACUUUUUCAUUAGAGUUCAUCUUAUCAUACAAAACUGCGUCUUUCUUUGAAAAUUUUAAAAUUCAAAAUUUUCAAAUGACCUCGGAAGGAAAAAUUCCCUUAAUAAAGUUUGUAGAUCUCAAAAAAUUAUGGAACUUUCUAGUUGAUAGCCUUUUGAUUUAAAAUCAUUUAAGACAUCAAACAAUAAAUUUAAAUAUGGUUUGGUAUAUAUGAGGAACCAAAAUACCGGUUAUCGAGGGAGUUGCGCAAGAGGGGAGAUCAUGGAUUCAAAUUCUACCGGCCACGUAGCUGCAGAUUUUGCACGAGAAAUGCCAUGACUUGCAACUUCGACGACCGCUGGCCGGUGGAGGCCUCCCCCGGAAAAAAUUCUUAUUUUGUGGUUUUAUUUGAAACUAUUAUUUUGUAUGUUAUUAAACAAAGAUUUUUGUUUAUAUGUUGAAUGCUCGCUUACUAUGAUAUAAUAAAUGAAUGUUUGAGCACGCACCACGGAGUUGAAAAUUGGUGGUAAAACUUGUUGUGAGAGUGAGGGCUAACUACGCUAACCUGACAAAAUAUUAUAUUUAAUCUAGUAAUCAUUGUUUCCUCCAAAGAAAUUUUGCAAACUACGGAGGGCAUAUCUAAAUUUGGUCUGCACUAAUCCCUCCAUUAUUAUAUUGCUCAAAACUUUUUGUUAUCAUAUCAAACAUUUACACAUGUGCACUGUUAUACUUUUCCUUAAAAAGGCUUAUAAAUAAAAUAUCGACAGAGAAACUCAGUAUUGUUUCAGUUAAUAUGUAUAAAUUGAUCUAAAGUAACAACUUAUGUAAAUUAUUGUCAUGAAUGUAAUUUAAUAAUUUGUUAGUAUCAAUGGUAUAUGUAUCGAUAAGAAAAUUUUUCAUAAUUACUGAAACAUGCAUGUUUCUUUAGACAUUUUCAUAAUAUCAUUUUUCGUACUUUGAAUGUAUAUUUGAGAAAAUAUUUUUUGUUUAUUUCUCAAUAGUGAUAAUUUAGAUUAAACAUUAGUGAUUACAUUAAAUUAACUAUCACAGUGGCUAGGUGAUUAGUUUAAUUGUAACUUUAGAAGAUUACUCUAUAUCAUAUUUCAUAGAGACACUGGUGGGUAAUUUGAAUGUAGGUUUAAGGUUUCUCAACAUUGUUUUCAUAGUGCAAAAGUUGAAUAAUCAGCAGAUUAUGGUCAGAUUAUGCUAGUGGGAUGUUCUAGUAGACACUGAUGUGGAUAUUUUGCAUUGGCAAGAGAAAUAGCUAGUGGGGUUUAUCUUUAUAAGAGAUAUAUAUUAUUUCUUGUUCACCGGAUUGGAAAAUAAAUAUUAUAUUACAUCCAACAGCAGCAGGUAUGUAAAAAAAAACAUAUAUUGCAGACCUGCCUAUAAAAUGCUCUGUUCACGUAGAGUCGUAGAGAUGGUAUCUUGCUGUGAGAUAAGAAUGUGGAGCUCGUACGUCGUCCUUCUCCCUUUUGCAUUGUCUUAGGAACCACAAGCAUCAUUAGAAAGUAACUGAGACACACAAAAAUUUCCCCUGUGAGGUUCAUUCAUGUCAGUCUAUGAUAACUUCCUACUUGAGUUGCUCCUGGGCAUGUGAAGCAUUAGGAAUCAAGAUUGGGAGCAAAGAAGCCAUCUGUGAUGUUGGCAGUGAAAUUAUAUUGCAAGCAUUAAUCUCACAGCUAGUAUUGAACUGUGCAGUGCCCAUGGUCGAUUGUGGAGAGGCACAGGUCCAGCGGGCUACCUCCCUCCCUCAUUGGUCUGGCUGGCUCCCUCUCUAUCCUCAUGUGAAGGCGCAGGUCUGGCGGGCUACAUCCCCCCUCUCACUUGUUGCUGCUCCAGAGCCGGCGCAGGAUCCUCUCCAACGGCCGCUCAUGUGGAGGCACAGCGCACGGGCCCCGGCCGUGGCAACGGGCCAUUGGCGGAGGCAUGGGGCUGACAGAUCUGGUGAGCGAAUCUUCUCCCUUCAUCCAGCGCAGUGUCAUGGAUCUGUCGAGUGUGGGUCUAGCGGCUCAGCAACAGUAUACAAUAAAUUACCAUAGCAGCGAAAAUUCCUGUCGGCCAAAAUGGGCUUCCCAGUGGAUUUCUGCCUCUUUUAUUUUUUAAUUUAUAUUCCUAGACAAGCAUUCUGACUACCGACAGAAAAGAUGACUAAGGCCCCGUUCGUUUAGGGUGAAAUGAAAUCAGAAAUUGUUCCAGCUGAUGAAUCUUAUACAAAUUUGUGAACCAAUCCAGCUAAGAAUUGUUCCAGGCCUUCAAUCCCAAUGAAACGAACAAGGCCUAAUGCAGACGGACACUGGGAAUUUGACCACCUGGGAAAAUAGAUUACGUAGUAGUAGUAGUGUUUCAUCCCUCACCUCCUCGCUCAAAUCCAGCUCAAAUCAAUUGGAACUUAGGUGAAUCUGGUAGUACAUGGUGACCUCCAUCUUCUACCUUAAUUUUCUCCAUUAGUUUUGCUUUGUUUUGACCUCUGUUUUGGCUAAACAAUGUUAUUUGGUUCAGUUAUUGUUGGAAUAAUUGCUGUAGAUAGUUCAUUUUAGUAUUGGGUAUAUAUUCCCCUAGGACGGUGGCAAUUUUCAGAUACAUUUUUAGUUCCAUGUAUUCCCUGUCAGAUAUAAAAACUGAUAAUGUGGUAGUGACAGUUUGUGCCUAUGUUUGUUGAUUCUUUUUACUAGUAUCCUAAAGACCAAUCGUAUCAGACUGCCGACAAUGUUCAACUAAAGAGCAUAGUGUUAAGUUACAUGUGAUCCAAAAAACCAAGUAGUAUAGACAAGUUGGAUGCUACAAAAUCAAGGAACAAUCAUGCACAUUAGUAUUUAAUUGUAAAUGUCAGGCCAUGCUAUGGUACUCUGACUAUGUCAUUACUAGAGUGCAAAGUAGAUCAUGGAAUAUUAGACAGGUUUAAAAUUUGAAAUAAACAAAUUCAACUAGAAUCAACUUGGUGGUGAGUAUACCCUAUGAUGGACGAGCAGCCACUGGCAGAGGUGAGAAGGUUAAGCAUAUAUAUAAGGACAGAUGACAGAAUGAUCGAAUGACAGAGGUGGAAGACACCAAGUAUCAAGAGCAUGAGGACCGUGCAGUAAGUCUCCACGGUCUGGUGCUUAAAUUGGCAGCUAAUAAUGUUGCUCCCACCAGUGCAAGCUCCUCAUCCACACCAAGAACAUAGAGGACCAUCACGGCGGCACGAGGGGCACGCAGCAAGUUAGAGUGGAUCCCUCUCUGGUGCACAUCUGCUCAAGUCAAACUGGAGCACCCGCUGCCGAGGACAUGGCCCUCAAGUACUGUAUGUACUGCCAAGGAGGCAUGGCACUCACACCACUAUCUGUAUGACCGAACAGACACCAGCACGACAACGAUCCACCACGAACAUCAUUGGCAUUCCUGAUGCCUCCUCGUCCUAUCUUAUCACCAAUAUUUUUCAUAGAGUAGGCGAAGCAUAUGAACUAUAAUCCUAUUUGCCUGACCCACAUUCUCAUGGUUGUCCUUCAAUUUUUUUAUGCAACUGUUUUUUCUUUUGAUGGAACAGGAGGGGUUAAAACCCAUGUACUGAAUUUUUUUUGAAAUACUGGAAAUUUUCAUGUAACUGUUGUUGGUGGACGCAAGAACAGUGCGCCAUAUAAAAGGGAAAAUGAUAGUAAAACAUUCAUGCAGGCCAUCCGCGCGCGCUUUUGUAGGGGCGUUCAAGUUGUGCAAAAUUUAUGAAUCAUCCUUGGUAAGCAAUGCACAAUCCAUAUAUAUAUUAUAUACCAGCUACUGGUAAGUUUUUAAAACUUUUCUUGAUAACUAAAGAGCAGAACCACUAUAUCGCAACAAUAGUUACUCAUCAGUAGGUGAGUAAGGAAUCAUAACCACAUGGGUCACUAUUUCCAGCAAAAAAGCAAUUAGCUAAGGUUGAAAUUAAAUGUCAGACUUUAACCUCUUCAUAACUUCUAAGUGGAAGCAAGCAUGGAGUGAUGGUUUGAAACAGUUACCUCAUAUAUUUUGAGUAACUAAAUGGUUAAACAAACAAAAAAAUGGUGCCCGUUACUAUCAAGCUAUAAAGACCUCGCGAGUGGAUGGAAUGCAUUUUUGUAACUUGUCACAAAAAAAUUGUCACACUCACUUCCUUGCACUCAAACAAUUUCUUCUAAUAAAAAAAGAUAAAAAAUCUUGGAAGUCGAGAAAAAUACUGACAUUAUUCUAACUUGAUUCGAUAUGAACAAUUUCUUCUUCUCAAAGAUGGUAAAAAAUAACUAAGUAAAUUUGGCAAGCAAGAACCAUUUCUUAUGCACCCUGAUGCGUCAUGAUGGUAGCAACAACAAAUAAUUCUAAAUAAGAGAUCGAGAUACCUUGGUUCACCUUUCAGUGGUGUUGGGAGGUACAGAAAUUAAUGGUAUGGGCAAACGCAAUGAUGAAAAAAUUAUUUUCUUGUCAUGUGUUCUAUGUUACUACAUAUCCAGAUAUCUUGCCUGCAUUUUGGUUAGCGAGAAUGUCAAAUUACAGAUGAACUAGUACUGAUGGCAAUUAAUUUCGGCUGUAGAACACAGAUGCAUUCCCUGCCGUGGACAUUUUCAAUGUUCCUCGUGCUUCCCAAAAUUAUUUUCGCUGACAACUUUGGUGCAGUUGCUGCAAUGAACUGCAGUAUGGCCUCUCGGGCCCUUUUUUUUAUCUCAUUUUCUAAUAAAAAAGAUUUUUUAUCUCAUAUAAAUAGGCAUGGCAUCUGGGGUGGUGGCAUUCUUGUUUGUAUCAGUUAUUAAUAUUUCAGAAAGAAUUUGCAUUUGGGAUUACCUAUCACUGCUUACUAGGUAUUGGUUGCCUAAUGUUCCAGCAACAACUGAUCCAGGAGGAUCGCAUCAGAACAAGAGCUGAACCAGGCUAGCCUUAUCUAUCACUGCCUACAAAUAUUUAUGUUGCAUCCCAUGAAGAUGGAUGCUCCCUGAACUAUUUAUUUGAAUGGAUGAACUCAUGCGUCACUACUCAAUCAAAAUUGCAAUGUUGCGCUAGCACAUCUGUAUGAGCUUGAGUUGUCCCUAUCAAACAAUCAUCUUCCCUAUUUGUAGCAUAAAUCAAACGCCGGCAAAUGUACAUGGAGUACUAUCCCCAGGAUUUUAUAAGCAUGGUUUGACCUAACCACGGCAAAACAUCACACAUGCUCGAGGGAAGAUGCACCACUGAUGAGGCUGUUCCUUCGGACAAAGGAGACCCAAGCACGUAACUCUCCAUGAGAUCCCCAAUGAGAGUUGUCGGGGCUUGCCCAUGUUUCGUGAUCCAUCGUGGAACUCCCCAUAUAACACCAGAGAGACUCCCUUGCCAUGAGACUGGGAUCCAAGAGCCCUACGCACAUAGUCCUCACCUGCCUAGGGUUAAUCCUGAUGCUUCUCAUACCUAGUUACAUGCUUGAUGCCUGGCCACCUACUUACGACUCACAUUGGAGUAUUGUGACUAUAGCAAACAAAAAAUGUUUGGUAGUGCUUUAUGGUUUAGCAUCUUUGUCUAGCAAUAUAGACAGGGUCUUACAUUUGUCGAAGGAAAUGCAAAUAAAGCGUUUACACCAUCAAUGUAUUAACAAUCACCACAGUGGGCUUCCUUGCUUUACAAUCCUGAUGCAGUUAAUUCGACGUCCUCUACAGUUCCCUGCUACUGAUAAUAAAUUAUCUCUGUCUUCCAUUAUAUAAAGCAUAGUAGGGAUACAUAAAGGUAAAAAAAUCAUGGUUACUCCUUUGUUCAGAGUUUUUGUAAUAAAAGCCUGGGGCCUCAGGCCCCUCCAGUUUCAUAAAAAAAACAAUAUUCACUAUAGCAGAAAACUGCAUCUGUGCCCAUUUUGCUUCAUCCAGAGCAGUGUAGUACAAUCACUGCCUUGCCAUUGAUAUAUACUUAGCUCUACACAACCAAAAAAUGGUUUUAUUAGAUAACCUGUCUCAUUAACAUGGAUGGACAUUUAGAAAUGGCCUCUACAAAUGAUCAGGUCGCCUCAAGGAAAAUGCCCAAUGCAUGGCGUACUAUAGCAAUCGACUAUGUAAAUCAUGGAUUAACAAAGACAAUCAUGUUACGAUAUUUGUCCCUACAUUGAUUUCCUAAGGCAUGCAUCUUAAGAUACUGUCUUUGAAAAUCACUAUUAACAAAGAUGGCCAUUAUAAGCAUCCGCCUAAAAGUUGAUUUCAGACUAUAAAAAAUACAUAAAAAAUAAUUCAUAUCUUUUCGGUAUGAAUUUAGAUGAAGAGAAACUUCACAUAAAAAUUGUAGCUCUCCGCGCAAUCUACAAGUUUGUAGUUGACAAGUUUUUGACUGAGCUGCAAAAUAUUGUUUUGAGUUCACUGACUUUGAAAUUUAAAAUUUAAAUUUUAAAACUGUCAAACAACCUUCAAUGUUGACAUGGUAUAUAUAUAACAAAGUUGUACUUCCUCUGUUCCAAUUUACACAUCGUUUUCAUAUUUCUAGAAUUUUUUAUUACAUAUCUAGACAUAUUGUAUAUCAAGAUGCAUAGCUCAUGGCCCAUCUAUCUGCAGCAAGUUAUCCUACGAUACUAGCUGAUCAUAAAAACUGUGAAUAAUCUGGUAAUUAAGUUAUUUUCAUAUUAUCUAUUGAUGGAUAAUUUGCCCCCCUUGGUUGCGAUUUAGGCUCCACCACUAGCGGGGCGAAAAGGUGAAACUGUUUCAUGCAUGGCAAGAAAAAUGGACAGUUCUCAGCAGCUUUGGACGCCGCCCCCUUCAUCCAUCAAAGAUGCUUUGAGUUGUUUUUUUGCCGUGUGGUUCUUAGGAUUUAUGCUAUUGAAUAGUUUUCUUUGUGUGAUUUUCGGGAUUUGCGGUAGUUGUUUUUUAGCUCUUGUGAGGUUUUCAUGGCUCGGACAGUUUGGCUCUUGGAUAUCUGUGAGCUGCCCACGCAUUUUGUGAUAUUUUCACGCGUGUCGUUGGUUUUGCCUACCGGCUUCCUGGCCAUAUAUAGGGAGGGUGGGUUGCGUGGGGUUGAGUGACUGCAGUUGUUUUUUUGUCCCAACCUGCUGUUGCGAUCUAGGUUGCCAAGCUUUGUCGAGGUUUUUGGGCAAAGGUGUUCGUUGUCAGGUCUGAUACUUUUGGUUUUUCGUUUCUCGAAGGUGAGGUUCCAACUGCUUUUCUUGAUGCUUCCUCUGGUUUUAUGCUUUUUUAUUUUUGGUAGUUUUUGUUUGCCCUGAUUUGGUUGGUUCAGCAACAUAUAUAUCAGAGCUCAAAGUCCAGAUUAGAGAGGUCGAGACAAAGAUGACCAACCAGUAGAUGUGUCCGCAAUUACAAUGGGGAGCAGAGGAGAAGAUACCAGAGAUAACAACCAACCGGCCAGUAGAUGUAUUUGAUUGUGACUACCAUCUCACAUGGAUGACCCUAAUGUCUGUGCUUGGUGAACACUUGCACGAAGCAACUUCAAAACUGUGGUAUCUGGUACAUUCGUCAGGAAGCACAUGAAUGUACUAGGCCACCAAGCAGUCUGUCCUACUGAGUAUGCAGAGACCGAUGUGGUGCAGGUACCUGCGUCUGGUUUGAGCUCUCUUCUGACCAGCGGGCCAUCACCAACAUCCUCUAAAGCCUGUUGAAAUCCCACCUACAUAAACCUUGCUAGCACAUGCUGCACAUGCACAGAACCAAAGCCAUUGGGUAAGCCAUUUGAACAAUGCUAUUAGAACAAUCUGAUUCAUAUCACACGAAAUCUAUCUCAUGCUUAAGUUCGAACAUUUGGUUGAGUGAUUACUGUGAGGGCCAGACAUGUGAAGCAUCAGGAAACAAAAGAAGUAAAGCAAAGGAGGUGUUCAUGUCUUGUGACAUCCUGCAUGUCCACGGGACUGUAUCAUCUGUCUGGUUACUUUAAUAUGGUCAACAUGGAAGACACGAUAAGAGAUGCUGCUUGAGAUAAAGUUGGUGAACUCUGUGACGGCCAUGUACAGAAUCAAGAGCCAAUUGAAGCUAUGGUGUCCACUCUUAAGUAACAAAGAGAUGUUGUCAAAUCUUUGAUGGAGUGCUGUUAGCAUACUGAGGAGCAUUGACGUUUACUUUUUGCUACCUAGUGCCGUCUUUCAUUUGUUCUGGUUGUUGGGGCUGAUGCCAAGGGGGAGGUGGCUGCUUGCGUUCCUGUUCUUCAAAUUGUAGAUGUUUAUUGUUGGCUGUUAGCUUUCUUCGUGAAAGUUGGGGUCAUGUUGGUUUCUGAAAAUUAACUGUAACUGGUGUCCCCAGUUCUGAACCUAUGGUGUCAGCUUUGAAAUUUCAAUAUAAGCUGGACCAAGAGGUCUUUUAUAAAAAAAAAGGGUUACCAAGUCUUGCUGAGGGGAGUUGCCUAUUAAAUAGUUCUAGAUCAGAACUAUUUACGGGGCAAAGGAAAUAAUGCCUAGCUACUGAUAAGAACAACUUGUAGCAAUAUGUAUAUAUUAAUGUGGAAACCAAUAGGUGAGGUAACCUGCGGUGCCCUUCUGGCAUAUCGAUGCAGCUUCUUGCAAAAUCUGAUGCAAAACAAGAUGACAUCUUUCUCGAGGUUAAAUCGGAGCAUUUGGUUGAAUGAUGACUUCGAGGGCCAGACAUGUGAAGCAUCAGGAAACAAAAGACAUGAGACACGGGAUGUGUUCACGCUUUGUGGCAUCCUGCACGUCCAUGAGCGCUGACGGACCCAGGGUCCGGCGACCAUGGACACCCACCCAGGCUAUGUGUGCCAGCGGAAAUUUAUAGUUUGUCGCUUCACCCUUUGCUGUAAGCUAAAAGAAAUACACGGUCUCAUAAAAACGGCUUUGAUUCGCCCUGGCACCUUCCGGAGGCUGGUCCCCUAAUGUCCACGAGGCAGUGUCAUCAUUCUUGUUCCUGCAAGCUCAACAUCCAUGACGAAUUGACGAUUAAUCCAGCCUGUGAUGUGGAGCGAGAUAGCAAUGGGCCGAUGAGAUCAUCUUGGUCUGUCAUCAAUGUCGUCAAUAUAAAUGAAGGGCAAGGCAACAAAAUAUGUGGUCUUUCGUUGCUAAUGAGCUCCUUUUUUCCUCUUUGCUCCCCUGUUCUUCCAUUCUGUCAUAUCUUAUUAUUACUAAACUAGAGGCCCCAACGGUGGCUCCACGUUAAUUCUCACUAGAUAUGUUAGAAAAUAAAUUCUACAUAUUCUCACAAUAAUCAGAAAUAACUAGCCUUUAAUUAGACAGACUAAUCAUGAUCUACAAUAAUAACCAUUAGAUCUAUUUGUUUAUAAAAACAAUUACCAAUCUCUAUCAUCAUAAAAAAAAUAUAUAAAGUAACCCAAAAAAUUUGCAUCUAACUUAUUAACCACUUUUAUCAGUAUGAAAGGUUAUUCCAAAUAAUCCCAAAGUUGUAUCUAUACCCACAUUUGCUAUUAUGAAAGAUAGUUCAAUACAGACCCUUAAACCUACAUAUAUUAUGAAAUAGAAUUAAAACUAACUUCAGGGUUUGAGGUUUAGGAUUUAUCUUCAUCUGAUUUUGAAAUGAGUAUUGGACACCCUAAAUGGUUUUAUUUUUCCAUCCAAGAUUGUUUGAUAAAUUCAAAUUUUACUAUGCUCCUAUUUUUAGAGGUGGCACUAUAUCAUGUCCCCUCUAAUAGUUGUUUUUUUAUGCGGCCCUACCACCUCUACAGAAUUAGACUUUUAGAGAAGCCUCAGUUUGGACCGGUUUGUAUAGGCAGAUGUGCAUUGAGCCGCCUCUGUACAAAAAAGUUCCCAUUGCUGAAAAUCAUUGUUGAAGUAGAGACUACAAAUCGAUUGAUGACCUUCGAUCAUCAGCAUUAUGUAAUUGCCCAGUAUGCAUCAUUCCAGAUUAAUUCAAAUAAUUUAUAGCAUGUGGUUUCAAAUAGAGACAGAGAGCACACAUGAUUAAUUUUAAUUAGGCGGUCUACAUAUUAAAUUUAUCGAAAAAUCUUUUAACACUUUUAUAUGACCUAGGAUUGUAGGUGGACAGUACUGUUCCUAAUUUGUUUUAUUGAUCCAACUGGUCCAUGUUAUUUUCUUGAAAUAUUUCUUGUGUAGCCGCAUUUCUAAUUUAAGAUAUAACAGUAAGUAGUACAACCCACAGGACAGGUAGGUUAAAUAAUCACGCUUCUCUGUACUGCUAGGGUUGCCUAUAAAAAUGGCCUCAGCAUGUUUAAACACAGAUGGCAAGAUGUCUUUUUCUGUGGAAAAAAAAUAUAUCAGCAGGCAUGCACUUCUCGCUAGCAAGUUGCUGUUGUUAUUUGGGCAUGAGAAGCGUUAGGAAUCAAUAUUGGAACCAAAAGACAGAGAGUUGCCUGAGUUCACUGAAUCGAUGUAGCUAUUGCAGAGUCUCUGUUACAAGCAUGCUACAUGUACGUGGCACAGAGGCACUGUGGACAGCUGACAAUAAGUUAUUGGAGCUCAGCCGUGCAUGAAGCGACAUUGUCCAAAGAUCCUUUGCAUCGACCACCACAGCUUCCACCGGUGUCCAGCUCUCAUGGCAUCAGAAUGACAGGUGGUGCGUGUCUGAGAGCCAAGAGUAGCAAAGUGAGGAAUUAUCCAAAUGUAAACAUUUGAGCUGAUACAAACGGGGCCGAAAUAAGUGCCACAAGGGGCUUACCGGCUGAGCACACAUACAUUGGCAUUGGGCAAACAGGCGAAUAGCAGCCAGAGUCAGUUCUCAGUUGGAUCCCUUGCACUUUUUGGCCUUCCAUCGUGCAUGUCGGAGCAAAGAGAUCAAGGAUGACAUAUCAUGUAGGAGAUGUUGAUAGCUUGAUGUCCCGCAGUCAUCCAGGACCGCCGCCAUGGACGGCCCCAUCGUCAACCAGCUUCGCUUCGUGUUUAUUACACAUAGAAAUAAAUGCUUCUCAAAGAUUUGCUCCAAGAUUUUUGCUAAUUUUUAGAAUGGGGUACCGGAGCAGUUCCCUAAGAAUGCUUCUAGAACUGCAUCCAGAACUGCAUGGGCUUUUCAAUUAUUUUUUUGGUAGCAGGAUCGAUAAAUUAAAUUUACAACUGACAACAUAGUGUGUGUAUGAUAAAUAAUGGUGCAUCUUUUACAGCCCUGCCAAUCCAAGUAUCAUGACUUUUCAAGUUGAGGUGGAAGAACCACCUCGACAAGUCAAAAUGGGGUUCGAUCCCCAAAUAGCACUCGCAGAGGGCGAGGAACACAACUAGGUGUGUCACCCUGUGUGGCGUUAGAUCAUGAAACAAUGCACAUAAUGAUGGCCCGUAGCCCAAGCCUUGGCAUGCUUCAUGCUCCCCGAUCUAUGGUAGUAGAAGAGCGGCCUAGAUGGUCGACUCAAGAGGAUCGAGGCCUGACUCAUCAUAUGGCCCUGAGCCAGAUCUCUGAACUCAUGACCACCCAGCCCAUGAUAGGACCCGACCGAAAGGAGGGGGCACCCCAGGCCUCUAGUAGGUAGCUCCCACAUACGAGCUUGUCGAGCCCCUGCUCAAGCCAAAGACCUGAGCACCAUGGACUCUCUAUUGAGCCAAUACCACUAAUGCUCACCGUCGACGGGUGAGCCAACCACCUCAUGUUUUUGCCGGUGAAGUCCUCAAGCAAGUUGAUACCUCUUUCGACCAGCAGAAAUGUCCGCGCCAAGGAGGGUUAGGUCACCACAAUAUCAAAUUGAACCCUUUGUUGCCAUCAUGAAAAGUGAGACCACGAGAAGGGCUCGGGGGCUCCUAUCAAGGUCAUAACAUCGAGGUAUGCCAAAAUUUCAAUUUCAAGUGGUUCCUGAGCAUCUAAAGACCGCUCGUCCUACCACCCUAACAUAGCCUAGGGCUCGGGGGCUUUGCCCAUCGGGCAUGCUCAUGUCACCCUAAGGUUGGGGGUCCAGCCAAGCCUGGCACCAUGACACCUUUGACUUGAGGCUAGAGGGCCUAGGACUGGCCUUUGGCUCUUGCCCAACUACCGAUGCGAACCAAGACACAGGCACAACAAGAUAAGAACCCAGGCUAUUGGUGUCCCAUGUCUCCCUCAUGACGCUCCCGAACGUGAGGCACACCCUACCAGCUACUCCUUCGAUAGGGUCACACCUAGGGCCUGACACAAGAAGGCAAAGCUCCCUAGCAGCCUCUAGGGGCUGGAGGGCUUCCGAGUUGGCACGUCAGACUUUGGAGCUGACCUCCCUCACCGCCAACAAGACACUAGAAGGUCUUACCCGAAGGAGGUUAGUCCAAACCGACAAGACCUAACCAUGUUAGGACAGAACAGUUGGACGACACCUAGGCUUCUUUGGCUCCGAGGCACCUAGACAGUCUAUGAUUUUCCACUGCAAGGCCUCCGUGGACUCUGGCACUCGUAGACCAUAGGCUAGAAACCACGUCCAUCUUGUACCUGACCGAGCCAUUGAGUAUAAGGGAUAGGUUUGGAUCCACUAGGGAAGAACAAAAAUGAAAUGAACAAACCAACCAAAGGAAUAACACGCAAGCUCAUUUGCCCAUUCCGCCUUCUUUGCUUUGUCGCCUAGAGUAGAGCAAUCCUCAAAGGAGCUCUGGCAGUUCAUCCACCAUCUCCUUUGUCUCCGAUGAGGGGAAGACACCUCUAAUGGCGAGGCAACACCAUCAUAGGACUAGCAUCGAGCUAGCCCCUCUCAAACCUCUCUACACUGAUUGUAACCUCCCUCGAUUCUAGGUGUUCUUGAGUACAAGGAUCAUCAACUACUGAAUGUAUGGACCGACUUAGCUAGAACCAGGAUAAAAUCUCUACAUCUCUUGUGUAUUUCUUUCAUUCUUGAGUUCACCCGAGCCACCAUAUCCGUCGUGCGAUGACACCAUCCGAACAACAUGCUUGCCGCGGUUUCGACCCCAUGUCAGCUUUCAUGUCUCCAUUUUAGCCAUAGGCAUGACUGCAUCCGUGUGCUAGAAGACGGACGUGCAAAAAUGAAGGGACAGUUGCUAGGGUCGGCGUGGGUGGGGGUGUCUGAGGUAGGAAGCAGGGAGGAUAUGGGCAACGGUGUGCUAGUGGAGGCGGAGGCUACCAGAGACGGAAGCAAUGGAACGGUUUUUUAACCUUUGUUUUGAUCUAGAUAUGAUGGAACAGUUGAAAUGCAGAAGGGUCUAGUGGUUCGAGACAGAAUAGUGCAGAAGUGGAGAAAAGCUUAGGUCCAAGUUGGAAUCGGACUAUAAAUGUAUCACUAGGCCUUAUACUAGGCGCGGGCCUCUUGGGAGGCCCAGUCUUGUUAACUGAUUUACAGAGAUGAUAGUUUAUUGAGUUGUGUACGUAAAAAUUGACCGUGUUUUUAGAGAGAUUGAUACUUUUAGACUAAACACAAGAGGUACAAUAUACUAAAUUACUAAAAUCUGGUUUAUGUUGAGGGUGCAAUUGUCCAAUUUUAUGGACCCCAGUAUAAAUGUCCUCAAGCUAGAUACGAGUAUAUUAAUCGUCGAUGUGUUCCAGACCAGUGUGUUUCUGUGUGUGCCUUCAAUGACGAGAAUCAAAUCAAAACGGUGAACAUGAGGCCAUGGUAGACGUGUGGUAUGGUGUGUAAGAUCAAGGAUACUGUAUUUAAAACCAUAGUUGCUGGCCUCAAUGGUGUAGGCCAUAUAUGUAUCUCAGUUGCUGGGCAGGUUGUGGCCACACUCUCCACCAUAUAACCAUUGUCGCAUGCUCGUCCUUUCGGCUAACAUACCUCAAACUGUGUUGCAAAUAAACAGUCUGUAGAUUGCAGGACCUAAACUAUACAAGUCAAGUCCAUGUGGCUCAUUUUGAAAAGUAUCUUAUUAGAUCUGCCUAGGCAUGGCUGGCAUCAGGAGCUGGUUGACCAUUUUGCAAACACGGCCCUACAGCAAGUUCAUGUGCAUAUGUAAACUUGGAUCUCUGAACAUGCUAUUUAAAAUUAUAUAUGUAGACUCUCACUAUAGGUCUUCUCAUCCGGUAAAAAAAAAUCGGUCCUGUCCACAGCAGCAUCUCUAAUAAAUCAGGUUCUCUAUUUUUUGAGGACUCCAGGUCGGAACUAGCCGAUUUGAACUCACAUAUCUCAUUACUGCAACCAGUACAAGCAGGAGCCAUGUUUCGCUUUCCUGAUCACCAAUAGUGUUUAGCCCCUUACUACAUGUGAGCCCAGCACAACACGUGAGCUUGGAGCCUAGUCCGACUAAAGCACGUUGCGCAUGCACACACCUUGUGAAGCCCAACUCGCAUGUCAUGCAUCUAGUGCCUACAUGCAUGAAUGGGUGCAUGUAUAGAGUGGUAUAAAGACCGAGUGUUGUGUGAGUGUGGGGUAUUGUGCAUUGUAUUGACACUGGCUUAUUAUGUAUACUUUGUCUACUGAUGAUUCUACCCAUUCUUAAUGAACUAUUUUAAAAAAACAUGUGAGUUCCAAUUUAAUACAGGUGUAGCUUCACACACGAGCGUCCUCAUUGACCUCCUUGGCAGUGUGCAGUGAGUUUCCUUGGCAUCACUUGGCAUGACGAGUCACAUGUGUAUUUAUUGGGGUACAUAGAUACUCAUUAGUCAUGGCAGCUAUGAAUUGCAGCUUAGUAGUCCUAUGUGCUAACGUUUGACAUGUUAUACCAUUAACACAGGCGGUUGUUAUCUCUUACCGUACUGUUUUUACAACACAGGCGCACGAUAACUAAAACCGCCUAUGGAAAGAUUUUGCCACCGCCGGCUUUGAGCUCUUGUGUAAAAGUAUAUGCCACCACAGGCGCACACGAACUCUCGGUACCGCCUAUGAUGUUUCUACCCAAUUUCUCUAUCAUGACAUUUCGCAGUGAAAUUUGUCAUAUUAUGAAAAAAGAUCCAAUGAUAGAAAUAAAAGUUUCAUACAAUCCUUAAACCUCUCCUUGAUCAUCACUUUUUCGAAUUCAUAAUAAUGCUGCUCAAGCUUUGCAAUGUUCCAUCUAAAAAAUGUCCCUGGGGAUACGACAAAAAUUCUGAAAAUUGUUUGAAAACAUAAUUAUGAAGGAUGACAAUGUGGCUGCGUAUGUGUGCUUUAUUAUGCGAGGAAACAGUCAAAACACUUAUUGUCUUACAACAAUUCAACAAUAUGCAUUUAUACAUGUAGGGUAGACAAAGUUAAUAUAGACACAUAGAAUCAAAUCCCUACGCCAACUCGUCUGCCCUCUAUCACACUUAUUUGUAAUUACUUCUUAUUAUGGUGAUAUUCAUCACAGUGCUCCUGUCAUUUUGUGUUGAAUUAUUUAUUGGUCGGCGGCUUGAAAAAUAGCACAAUAGAAUGCACAGAGUAGGUAAAAUAAUGGUGCAUCUUGGUGCCUAUAAAAUGGCCACUUGACCUCAGCAUGUUUAUGAUGACAUGCAUGACUGAGAUAUCUUGCUGUGAAAAGACUGAUGAGAGAGCUUGCCAUGUCUUAGACACUGCUACCGUAUCUUGACUGAAAAAAAUAAAAGAGUUACCCGCAUUUUUUGCCUCGUGAGAUUAAUACUAUCUUUGACAACAUUCUACUUAAGGAGCAUCUAGGCAUGUGAAGUAUUAGGAAUAAAGAUGGCAGCACAAAGCAUCAGAAAAGGGUAGCAGCAAAACUGCAGGUAUUGAUGAUGGCAUGACUGGAGUUGGAGAAGGGCACCAAGCUGGUGCAUGGCCUCGGUCUGUAUUCCUGAGUACACAGAUCAUCUUGUCACACUCUGCUCCAUAGUAGCAUAUCGUCCUCACCUUGAAAUGGUUGCAACUUCAGAUACGAGGAGCGAUAGCCCCAACGUGUGUACAACUCGUCUAGGCUCCAUAAAUGUUUGGGUUUUCGUUGUUGACAUGGAGGCUGGGAGGUUCAUAAGGUCUGACAAAGAAUUAUUUGUCCUCAUGAUCGCAUUGGCAUUUAUGUCAUCAUCAAAGCAGGAUUAAUUCAACACCAAAAAACUCCAUUGCUUGCUGCAACUAGAAACUGGGCACAAGAAUCGUCCAGCAUCAAUAAAUAACAACAAGAAACUACAAGCGAGGCAAGACCUUGCACAGCACUAGCAGCACAAGGAAGAAUCAACUAUAAUCUAUUUUCUUCUUGAAAGAAUUCGCAGGCUAUCAUAAUUUACAUAGAGCACAUAAGCUGCAGCUUUGUAUAUGGACCAGCUAAGCAUCCCAUAGAAAUCUUAUGUGUGGUGAAGUCUUAUUUCAACUCAGUCCGUCCCAGUUGCUUCUCAUAAGUGGUGUCUGAAUUCGUUACUCUCCUGUAAUCGUUUAUUAUCAAAAGAUAAAAUUCAUUGAAGUAUAUAUAAUGCUCUAGUUAGUGCAGCAUAGACCCUAAAGAAAGUGUUGUAGAGUCUCAUGGUCACUUGUCUCGGCCUCUCUGGAAAGGUGCCCUUCUAACUAGUUGACAAGGUACGGUGCGCUUUUAGCUUGUCUAAGGAAAAUUACCUAACUAAGCUGUUUUUCUCAAAGAAAAAAGGAACUGAUUAAAUUGUGCUGUAUAAAGUCCAUGGUAAUUAAGUGUCUCGUGUAUUAUUCCUGUCUGCUGCCUAUAAAUGGCUUCAGGAGCUUAGCAUGGUAUCAGAAAAGGCAUAACAAUGGCUGAGAGACUUGCAUUCAAUGCUUCUUAUGUAUUAGCCAACCCUGAACUCAGUCCUGGUGUGCAAUUAAAGUGAACCAGAAACUAACUGGGGCAUUUCUGUGCAAUUGAGAACUUUGCAAGCUAUGACUAACUAUUUUUUCAAAAAUUUUACCUUGUAAAACAAACCGAAACUAUCACUAAAUUCAUACAUGCCAUAUACUUCUGACUAUUUGUAUAAUUAUUUGCAGAAAUUAGUUGAGCAUAAACAUUAAUUAGUAAAGUCAUAGUUGGUACCUAUAGUCUUAGUGCCCAUCUAAGUGAUUAAUGCCUUCUAUUAUUCUGUAAUGCGAUGGUUAAUUCGAGGAUUGCAAAAACAAUGGAACUGAGUAAUUUCCACACCACUUGCAACUAUUAGUGCUUGACAUACAUGCAUCAUGGACCCCAUUUGUCUUUUGCAUAUUUUUUUCCUGAAAAAUGCCUCUGGUUGAUGGAUUGAUGAAUAGUACCACAGAAAGCAUAUGGUGGGCAUAAAGGUUAGAAAGUACUGUUAUGCUGAACUACUUAUAAAUUGUCCAUGAUAUCCAGCUGUUUAUGCACAGGGGACAAUUGCAAUCUACUGACAAUAACAUGUUCCAAAUGUAUAAAUUGACAUGGAAAGAACAAAGAGGCGAUUGCGAGGUAACCUUCUAACUAGCAUUUCCCUUCUCCAUGUGCGGCUUCUGAACUAAGCUUCUCAUGGAAUAUGGUGCAUGUAACACAGCACCUUUGUCAUGUUCUAAGCAGAACCCUCUGGCUGCAAAUCACAUAUUCGAGAGGGUCACUUGGGCGUGUGAAGCAUCAGGUAACAAGACGAGAAGAAAAAGAGGUGCUCAUGUCAUAUUAUGUCCUUCAUAUCCAGUCAAUGCAAACAACUAUGUGGCUCUUUUCCACCACCUUGAGAUAGGUCAAGAUGCUCCACGUCCAGAAUGAGUAUUGCAGGCUGUGGCAUACAGAAAGUCAUGGCAAUAGUAGCUCGACUUGUGACGUGUAAACAAUGAUGGACCACAAGGCAAACAUCGAGCUGCUUUAUUAGUCCUGCAGCAAGCAAUUCCAGUGGCUCGAUCUGCUCGGGUGCCGAUUCUGGGCAUGUUGACUAUUCCGGCACGAAGCCUGACAUUGUACACCACAUGAUGUCCUCCGAUUUUCUUCAUAGGCCUCCUGAAAUCCGAGAAUAUAAUGGCCAGGUUUUAGUAUUGGAUUCCAUAUAUUCCAAGUUCUUUCAGCACACCCCUUCUCACAUUUAUGUUAAUACUUUUUUCCCUGAUCUUUUAGGGUUGCAAUUGCUGACAAUGGGAAGAAGAUUGACACCUGGUCAAAGAAUAGGAGGCCCAGCUGAUGUCAUCUAUGGCAAAUAAAAAUAAUGUUGUGCUACGUGUUGUUGCUCGAAGAGUCAAAGAAGUGUUUGCAAGAAAAAACAGUCAAGAGAUGCCCAGUUCCCAUGUUCCUGGUAGUAGUAACUUUUAUGUUUGCACUGUUGUGGUUUUGCGUCAUGAAUCAUCAGUAACUGGACUCACUGUAAUCAUUAAAGUCCGCACGGAGUUGCAUUACUGUAGGUUUUUUUUUAUAUACAACUGUAAUUGGAGUUCAAGUGAGGUGACCAUUAUAUCCAGUAAUCGGCACAUCCCGUUGGCAUUAUUUGUGCAUGCUAGAGCCUAGAGAUGCCAUAUACUAGGAUAUGCAUUUUUUCUCAAUAUAAUACAAGGCUAUCUAACAAUACACUAAUACUUGUCAAUGUGUAGUGUCUAAUACUAAUAUGAACAGACAAUUUUCAUCAAUGGAUGCUCAGAUGCCAAAUCAAAUAGCUACAUAUACAUACCAUAUAUCAUACUUUCAUUAUCCGAAUUCAGAUGUAGUAUAGUAGGAUCUCCACAAUUUUUGGCCCUACCAACUUGACAUAUUUUGUCUCCCCUAGGAUCAUGGCCAGAUCAUAACUCCCAUAUAGGAGGCGACAGCAGUGCAUGGGUGGAGAUGUGUGUUCGAGAGCUAUUUGCCCGAGAGGAACGAGAGGUCCCUGCGGUCGACGUCGCGUUGACUGACAGGGAUGACCAAAAUGCAGACAAGUGAGGAUGAAACGACUCAUAGUUUUUAAGUAGGACAGAUAAUAUUAAGCAAUAUGCAAUCAUUAUUUCCAAUGAUCGAUAUUAUCUUCUUUGUACAGCACCAAGCCACCGAUCACCUCCCUAUUGAGGGGAUCAUCAUACCACCUCUUACAUAAUUGUCUAAAAGAAGAACGAAGGAGCGAUGGUAGUUGAUAGAAAGCUUGGGAACGGGCGAUAUGUGGAAGGUGGUGUCUCUGCUGCGGGUGGGACACAUGGAGAUGGCACCAUGCAUGGGAGGUGUUGAGGCUUGGCUGGGAACUCAUGGUUAGGUAAAAGGCACCCAAAUACAAUGAUCAAUGUGCGCAACUCGAAACCUAAAUCUUCACUGACAAGGAAAUAAAUAUUAAACUAUCGAUGAGGCCCGACACAGAAAAAGGCAAUUUUCCAACGACAGGAUACCCAAUUUUUUCUGUAAGAUAAAAGAUAAGCAUGCAGUAAAUUCACACGAAUGCAAAAUACUGAAUGUCCUGCUGCUUCCUAACCGAACAGCACCCCCAUCGAUCAAUGAGUCCAUGUGCCAAGGACACUGAAUACAAAGGAAAAAUGCUAUCGGUUCAAUGGUUCUGGAACUCAUAUAAUCUUCAAUCAUCGAUGCAGCAAGGAGUAAUAUAGUAGCUGGCUAGCAGCAUAGCUUAUAUAUAGCCUCAUCAUGACUGUUCUCAUUCAUUGAGCAGGAGGCCACCUCAGUUCUGCAACUCUGCUGGUGGAGAGGCAGUCUGAAUAUGCAGGAUCAACGUUCUGAAUGGAUGGAUGGAUAGAUGGGUGUGUCAUACUGUCAUGUGUGGAAUAAAGCAGCCAUCGUUCAUUCCAUCCUGCUCCAUAGAAACAUUUUCAGAUCGAUGUAGGUCUAUGGCCUGAAACUUUCACUCUAUCAAGACAUUUUGGGCAAUCCCAUCGAUGAUACGACUUUGACACCAAAACUGGAGAUGAAUCAUGGUGCUCAUAUUGUGGCUGAUUAUGGAAAAUAUGAGGAGAGCAAAGCUUUGGGUCCUUCUUCUGAAGCAUAGCAACAUAUCCCCUGAUAUAUGUAUAGAGAAAUCAUCAAAUGUUUGCUCUAGAUAUAAAAAAGGAUCAAUAUCCAAAAAAGCAGUUCUCAGUUAGAAGUUGUGCAUAGGCAGUUUCACUCAUGGAUCUCAUUUUGUCCUCUAACUUUUGUGAAUGCGUAACACAAAGAAAGAAAGAAACAACAUCAUUCGUUCAUUUCUACUUAGCUGGUGUUAAACAUAAAAGAAGAACCAUAGGGCUAAAAUCAUCAAGUAUAAGUGUAUAACGUUAGACAUUUUCAAAUUGAGAGCACAAAAGCAUACAAAGAUAGUUAUCGGAUGGAUAUGGGUUCAAUCCAUGUUUGAAAAGUAUCACCUAGGCGUUCAGACGUAUCAAGCUCACCUUUGUGAAUAGUGACGGCCUUGUCUCCUAGGCAUCUAGGCAGACCCAGCACCCGCCUCACAUUUGGAAACCAUGGGUUUAAUGAUCAAUUUUUACCAUAAAAAAUGAUCGAUUCUGAAGUAUACUGACCAAACUGAACCAUUUCAAUAGAUACAAAAUUCUAUAUUAUUAAGUUUAUUUGGAGUAUGCACUCCUUUUAGGACAAUGCUAAUGUUAGGUGCAAAAAAGUAGCUGGGCAGAGCAUAUAUGUACUAGACUAUGAUGCCAUGCAUGUCACUCCUUCAAAGGAAGAAACAACAUAUGCAAAUCUAGUUCCUGGUGUUAUGAACAUAAUAUAAAAAACUAAUUGAAACCUUCUCUGAAAAAAAAGUGACUUGGACUUUAGUUGGAGAAAUAUAUUAGUGAGGUAACAGCUAGCUAGCAUAUUAUUAACCAUUAAUAAAGAGGAUGAAGGAUUUAUUGUGAUCAAUACCAAACCUAAAGUCUAACGAAGGGAAUAGAUAAUAUUUACUUUUUGAGAAUAGAUAAUAUUUAUUUUGGACUGUGUAAACACUUUAUUAACGAUUGAAAAAAAUCUAAAAAACAAUAUAAAAUUAAACAUGGCACUCUGCUCUAGUUGACCGCCUCACUCCUUAUUACAUGCAACAUGCCUCUAUCAUGCUGUUGCAGACAAUAUAUGACUCUGUAGGGCAGAAAGAUGAUAAACCAUGCUCACCUGGAUGUUGAUCAAUUGUUGUCACAAUAAUGCCAAUGUAUCAUGCUCGCGUACAACAAAUGACUGUGUAAUAAGUAUGCUUAAUUAACGUGCUCACAUAGUACUCGCUAAACAGUGCUACCCCUAGAUAGAUAUGCAUCGUUGAAUGGCAGUCAAUGAAGAAAUACAGACAUAUACUGGAUAUAGAAAAUGAUUACCUCAGGGAGAAGUGGUCACAUUCCUGCUCUGCUGCUGCUGGUGUUGAUAGACUCUUUGCUGUUGUGCCAUCAGAUUCAGCAACUGUAGAUAGACACCGUAGUUCCUCCACUGCUCUAGUUCUACGAGCAAGAGCAGCUGCUUCCAUAUCGGCAACUGUAGAUAGACGUCGUAGUUCCUCCACUGCUCUAGUUCUACGAGCAAGAGCAGCUGCUUCCAUAUCGGCAACUGUAGAUAGACAUCGUAGUUCGUCCACUGCUCUAGUUCUACGAGCAAGAGCGGCUGCAUCCAUUUGGUAGAAGAAGCACAGUGUGCAGCACAAACUGUCACUUGACACCGAACUAACACAGCCCUGGAAAAAAAAUCAAGCAUUGCAUGAUUUAUCUUACAUUGUUCUGUCGAGACUGCAAGUACACUGAAACAGAGAACGUACAACAGGGAUGAGGAGCUAGCAGGCUUGAUUGUGUAAAUCCCAACAUAUAUAACGUAGACUAUAUAUACAUCUAAGUUCGUUCAUGGAAUAGAACACAGCAUAACGAGCCAUAUAUGCAAUUGCAGUACAUAUUGCACAAAAAGAUAAGAAAUGAAUACAACUUUGACCUCUAAUUAAUUCAUUCCCAGGCCAGACUACAUAUAUACAUACAAAUAUAAAGACAACGUCAAUUAUUACCAAAUAAAUUAAGGCAGAGAUACAUAAAACAUGAUUAACUUCCAUGCAUGUUUAUGCCAGCAAUGCUGCUGCGCUAAACCUGACAGGGUCGUUGGCCACUCGUUUCUGCAAAGAAUCCAGGUAAUGCCCGCAUUUUUUGGCGACAUGAAAUAUGCAGGCACACACAGUAAGGCAUCUCGAGCGUGCGAAAUAAGGAGGCAGGGAAAUAAGCUGGUUGUAGACAUGAAAGUAUAGAACUAAAACCGGCCUCAUAAGUAGCAAGAACGAUAGAAGUCCUCAAGAACAAAAAGCUUUUUGCGAAGCCAAAGACCCAAGACCCGACCCAAACCUCAUCAUCAAUCAAGAUUCAUUCAAGGGUUGAAAUACUGAAUUUCACCUGUGCCUUUGCUGUUGUCGCCGCGCUGAAGGGAUCAGAUGUGGUGGAGCUGCACCGACGCACGUCCUCCACGAUUCACGGCUUCCUACGGCGGACGGGUUGGUGCCGGACGGCGGAUGGGUGAACCGGUGAUGGUGGAUCGGAAGCUUGCUGUGGUCAAGCUGGCAGCUGGACGUAGCUCCUUCUCGACACGGUCGUCGUCGAUCGAUGGCCUCGCACUCGCAGUCGCCGGUGAUGCCCUCGCUGACGUAUAAACCUCGCUCGGGUUCGUCUUCGACUUCCUCGCCGCCGCCACGGAGCAGAUCCGCGACUGAGAGGUGAAAUCUGCUGCGGGUGGGCGCGGAACCCGGCCGGCGAGCACGCGCCGGCAGCGGAUAGGGUUGCGGCGCGCGGAUAGGGUUGCGGCGGUGGAAGCCGAGGGCCGAGGGCUGCCGGGUCGCGAAAUGGGGAAAGGGGAAUUUUACGCGAGAAUGCGAGCCCAGGCGAACUGGCGAACGCGAAAGAGACGAGAGGGUGUGUUCUCCUUUUUUUAUUAUACUCCUCGCACCAGCCCGCCAUUGCUGCGCGCUCUGAUCCGUCUCGCUCCAAUCGCCUUCUCUCUCGGAGACGUAAAGUGACGGACAGGAUAUAUAAGGUAGAUUGAAAUUUUCACGAUGAUGAUGAUUAUUAUUAUUAUUAUUAUUAUUAUUAUUAUUAUUAUUAUUAUUAUUAUUAUUAUUAUUAUUAUUAUUAUUAUUAUUAUACAAAUUGAAGCACGUGUACCCUUCUCUCCCUGACGAUGGCACAGAGGCCACGGGCUUGCAGUGGCUUGGGCACGGCUAUAGCGUCCACUUGUGCGGGGUGAUGAUAGCGCACGGCCUUGGGACAAGGCGAGGCACAUGGGCGAGCGCAGCAGCUGUCAGUGGUGAUGGAGGACUGGACGGGCGGCCAUUGGUGCGGCAGCAGCUUUGUGCCGGUCCGCGGCGGCCGGACAAGAGAUAGACGGGACGCAGCCGGACAGAUUGGUUGGCAGAAAAAAAAAGGUAGACUGAAAUUUUCACAAUUUAUUAGUACGUAUAGAAUAUAAUAAAAAAAACUAAUCUCGGUGCGGGCCUGAAAGCGACGCUGGCCUCUGUAAUACGCUCUGGAUGCCCUAAGCUACGUAUUGGGCCCCACAAUCAGGCAAAGCUGGCCCACAAGCACAGCGACGGCAUGGAGAGGUCUCUGAACGUGCCAUAUAAAUAAAAAAUUUUCCAAAGGUUUUGGCGCAUGAUUUAAUUGGUGUACCAUUGACUAAUCCAUAUAUAUCAAUAAAAAAAGGUUUUGUUUCUAAUAAAAAACUAUAUCAGAUGGUGUAAAUCCUUCUCCUCAAAUCAGAACUUAAUGCGUAAAUAAACAUAAUAAAUGUUGAAAAGUAGGAGUUAUGCACUUUUGCAGGCUCUGCUUUGGGCAGGAACCGAUCAAAGUUAGUGGAGGCUUUAGGGACACCGACCACGAGGACCUCCUCCUCGUACUCUUUGGCCACCUCUGUGUAUUUUAGGUUCUCAGUUAUUACUGAACCUAUAUGCAUGCAACAUAUGUAAGGAUACUUUAACACACCUAUAUAUAGAUAAAGCACAACCUAACAAAAUCUAUGAACUCAAAACAAUAUUUUGCAAUGCUGAACAUUUUUCAAACAAACAUUUUCUGAACUACAAACAUGCACUAAGAGCUACAUGAUAUAAAUUUUGUCUUUUUUGAAGUUAUAUCAAAAAGUUAUGAAUUAUUUUUUGCAUUCGUUUGUUUAUAGUCAAUAAAGCAAUUUUUAUAGACUGAUGCUUCGAAUGACCGUCUUUGCUAAUAAUUAUCUUAAGAUGCAUGUCUCGUAAAAUCAAUUUACAUAUAUGUAUCCUAUGGCGACCACCUCUGUUAAUUGAUGAUUCUUGGAGACAGCCACUUUACGAUGGCCACCUCUAAAAAAUAGUUUGUUUUUUGCGAUACGGCCUCUAAAAUUUAGUUGACCAUUUGUCUGGAGAACGUCUAUGGAUGUACCCGUGAAAUUAUCUUCAUUCUAAAAUCAUUUUUUUAGUAGUUUAGAGCUAAUUAUUAAGGGCCUGGCACUGGCAGUGAUUGUACUACACUCCUUGCUCGGGCUCAAGAAAAAUAAUAAUGGAUACUCGACUUCAUCCAUGCCAGCUUUUUUCCAAAGCCGACAUUGAUAAUAUUAAUUUACUCACCGCCCGUGUGUGCCAGCGGCCAAUCCCAUCAUGCACAGAUGCUGUUUUCUGCUGUAGUAAAUAUUCUACUACUAAUCCAUGAUUUUUGUACCUUUUUAUUAUGUAAAUCCUAUUACGGUUUAUAGAAUGGAAGAGAGACAAUUUAUUAUCAUCAGUAGUAGCAGUAAAGGAGCUCGAAUGAACUGCAUCAGGAUUGUAAAGGGAAGAGGCCCACCGUUGUGAUUGUCGAUAGAUUGAUGGUGUAAAUGCUUUAUUUGCAUUUCCUUCUACGAAAGUAAUCCAGAACCUCGGUGUAUAUAUAUGUUGCAAGAGAAAUAUGCUAAACCAGAAACCACUACCAAGCAGACACUACUAGAAACACGAAUACUUCUGUAAGCAAUGAAUUUUUUAUGUAUUUUUUUUGGUACGCAUAGAAAAAUACCAAUUUUCUGUGGGUUUCAUAAUAUACCGACAAAAAAAUACAAAAACGCACACAUAGAAGUAACUAAGUUUUCAGAGUGUGUGUGUUUUUGCUAUAAUAGUCACGAUGCUCAAUUCAAAUGUGGGUGGUCAGUAGGUGCCAUGUAUGGUAUGAGAAGCAUCAGGAUUAGAGAAAUACCCCAUCGGAUGCAGGCCUAAUCUAGGCAAGUGAGGACUGCGUGCUUAGAAUAGUGCUGACAGAUCAGACUGAUUGAACUCCCUGACCAUGUAUGUCAUUGGAGGAUCAGGAGAAAGCUACUUGGUUGGCAUCCCCGAUGGCGUUGGAGUCCCUGUUCGUGUGGACGCCCGGUGUUGGACUGUUUCUUGUCAACCUGAGUUUGGGACAGGUGAUAAUUAAUGAACAGGGAGAUUGACAGGAUCGUUGUUAGGGAGGUUCCUUACCUUAGAGCAAGUAUAAUGAAUGGCUGUAAGCCGGCGAAAUCCGACCUGGCAGGGAGCGUAAAGGAGAGAGAGUACAGAGCGGACGUCUCGCGAAAUGGCGACCUGAAGCGGACGGUUACGCAAGAGCUCCAUUCUCAUUGGCUGUUCUACUGUUGUCCUAGCUCUGUAUUGGGUGUAUGUACGGCAGCUGCAGUUGCUACAUUUAAUUAGAAUCCACGCUAGACUUCAUUUCAUCCGCCGGCGGGCGGUAUCAUUGCUCUUGCUCUUAGUGCAUUCCAGGCACGUACAGUAGAAUGUCAGAAGUGUUGGAGAUGUGGAGUGGUGGAUAAAUACGCUACAGUGUAGUUUUGUCAACCAAAAAGCCAAUGUUUAUUCAGGUCCUAUUCGGUUCCCCUUGAAUGGUGGCGGGAACCAUUCCUACUUAGAUUGUCUAAUUUGUAUAAUUAGUCUGUUAAGCCGUGCCCUCGCAGGGGCUAGAAUUUUAAAAGUAUGUACUAUUAAUAUAUUUUAUUAAUUAUUUAUAUUAAAUUAUAUGUUUUUUCUUAGUUUAUUUUCUACACAAUAGACAUAAUAGAUAUAUUGUAUAGUCUAUAUAUCUAAUGAUCUUAAACUUAUUAAUUUUAUUGUUUUUGCAAAGGACUGACUUAUAUAUUUUACAUGCAUAUUCAUAUUUUUACUUUGCAUGGCACAUUGUAUAUUUUAAUAUGCAAUUAGUUUGAAACCUUGUCAUUAACUGUGGUGACUCACUAUAAGGUGGCUCAUUUUAUUGUAACGAAGACCACAAAUUCUGCUGCAGAACUUGGUCCCCAUGUAUAUCAAAGAGAUAGUGAGGCUGCAUGGCAUCACUACCAGACUGUCCAUUUUUCCUGUCGGCCGAAAACCGUCAGAAAUGAACCGAAAACCGUCAGGAAAUGUAUUCCUGACAGGUAGUCGUCAGGAAUCGGCCGUCAGCAACGUCUUGACACGAAUACUAGUUUAUUCCUGACGGCCGACCGUCAAGGAUGUAUUCCUUACGGUAACUCCUGACGGCCGUUGAUUUACUAGGAAAAUCUUUAACACCGUCGGUCUGCCCCGACAGGAAUUUCCGUCAGGAAUCCUUGGUCGACAGGAUUUAACAUCAGAAUUCCUGUUGUAUAGCCGUCAGGAAAAAUUUAAAAAGCAGUCAAUCAAUUCUCAUUUCAUGUUAUGUUGCCGUCAGGAAUAAAAAUGACAGGAAUCUCCUAUUUUUUUUCCUGACGGGAGUGGUGACAGGAAUACUAUCAUAUACACAUCCAUCCAUUUUGAUUCCAGAAAAAAAUAAAAUAUAUAAUUUGACACCACAGAGGCAGAUUUAGACACAUUCUAAUCCAACUUCCAAACAGGGAUUCACAGAUCACCACAUUUGAAACUGAUUACAUGCCAACUAAGUAGGUUCAACUAGCAAAGACUUACUAAGUCUAGCUGAUUACAUGCCAACUAACAGUUCACAAGAGGCGAAAGACUUCAGCAAGUCUGCUUACAUGCCAACUAAAUAACAGAGAGGCCUUUUCACUCUCUGACAUCUACAUACUAGUGAGACUGCACAAAAGAGGUCAGCUUACUUCAUUAACAAAAGCAAGUCAACUUGGAGCUUCACCAUAUACACUCCAACUGCACAAAAGAGACUUAACGUUGUCCAGACACCUUUCAGUUUGUGUCAGCAUUGCCUUCAUCCUCUUCCAUGCCAUUGUUCUGUAGACCGCGAGAACUAGCGUCUCCAGCAUGUGAUGAUUCAGUACCCUACAAGAAGAUGAAAUUUAAACAAGCUAAACAAUUUUGGUUAUCUAUCUAUGUGAACAAAAGAUUGCGGAUCUGCUCAAACCAUAAAAUGAGAUACAACCAAGUGAAAGAGCAGCCACAAGUUCAUUAUAAGCUUCAUUUUGGCAAAGCAUGUGCAGGGGGGUUUGACUAUGGUACAACUAGCACCACAUGGUAAGAAACAUACCUGUUCAACUGGUGGCAUAUAAGCAUUUGCACUAACUGACUGCAGAAUGUUUGCAAUUUCUGUUGGUACCUCCAUGUUCAGCUUCUCAAAGACAUCCUGAAAAACAAGAUGAUUAGAGCACAUUUUGGAAGUAACCGAUCAAGUACAUACAGUAUGUCAGAUUAGCUCAAAUACCUUCAUAUGUUUGGUUAGUACAAGUCCAAUAUGGGCAGAGUUCUGCUCCAACUGCGCAUUCCUCCUUAGAAGAGAUUGAUAAGACCCUGAAUUUGUUUGGCUUGUUGUUUUUGCCCUCCUACCCGAUCCUUUUAUGUCAGUUUUCCUUAUAGCACCAUUUGCUAUUGGCAAACGACCAUGAGCUAAGCCACAACCACUACUUUUGUAUACCACAACUGGGUCAAGCUGUCCAUCACUCCUGAGCUGCUCAUAAUCAUCUGGAUGUUCAGCCUCAAGAGUAGCAUAGUAAUCAUCCUAUGAAACAAAAAAAUCAUGUUGGCUCCUAGUGAUGGUGCAGCUGCAGCUAAGUCUGCCAACAUAUCAUCUACUCUAUCUGUCUCACCGAAACCCUCAAUUACUGGCUCCUGAAAGCGCCUCUCACCAUGUGCAGUCCAUGUUUUAUAAUUGGACUUAUACCCAUUGUGCAAUAGAUGCAGCUCUACCUUGCCCCUUUGUGCCAAAAUUAAUUCCUACAUACAGCACAAGGGCAUUUUAUGGUACCCUCUUGUACUACAGACUGAUUAGAGAAUGCAAGAUCCAGGAAGUGUUUUGUAUGCUCAACCCAAUCACAUGUUGGUCUACCACGUUUCCAACCACUGUACAUCCAAUCACGCUCAGCCAUAAUUUAGUAUUGCUGUCAACAUUCACAAAGUGAUAUAAUUAGGUGCCCAUUAAUAUUUCCCACUUUAAUGGAUAUAGUUUCAUAUAAAAUAGUUACUUCAACAAAGUUUCAAAAAUCCCAGUGAAUAAACAGACAAUGGCAACCAUAGCAAAUUUCAUAUCUGUUCUCACACUAAACAGUGACAAAAAAAUAUAUAAUUAAGCUCAUAUCCAUCAAUAUACAGUAUGGGUAAUUUUGUAUUAAAUCAUACUGUUUAUAUGUCAUCAACACAUAUGCAAGCUGAUAUUGCAAGGGAUGUAUCUUUUUUCUUUUUGUUAUUCAUGCCAAUGAUUUAGUAUCCAUAAAAAAUUGCAAGGGAAGAAUCAAAUCACCUCACUGCAGGAUCUCCUUCGCCCCCUCUUGUGGCAGCAAAUCUCCUCCCCUCUUGUGGCACUCCUUCUACACCUCUUCUGGCAGCAAAUGUCCUCCUAUCACGACUUGCAGGAUCUCCUCCUCCCCUUCUUGUGGCACUCGCGAGCAGCAGGGUUGUCGAUGGGUCGGGCACGGACGGAGGUGAAGGCCGGCGCGCGGAGACCAGGGACGAAGGCAGAUCUUGCCGUUGCGCUGGGGCUUCGCAGCCUCGGGGAUGACGCCACGGGGCUUCGGGGAUGACGCCGCGGGGCUUCGCAGCGCGGGUGGAAGCAGCGGUCGCAGGACUUCGCGGCGCGUGGAAGCGGCGGCCGUGGCGCCCGCUGAGCGGGUGGAUGUGGGGCCGCGGGGCUUUGCGGCAUGGGUGGAAGCGGCGGCCGCGGCGCUCGCUGCGCGGGUGGAUGCGGGGCCGCGGCGCGAGAUUGGGCGGGGCGAGAUGGGGCGGCGCGGGUGGAUGUGGGAGGCGGCGGCUGGGUGUCUCUGUUAGGGUUUAGGUUCAGUUUUUAUACCGCCCUUGUUCUGAAAGUGGGCCAAAAUAAAAAAACCGCUCUAUCAGCCCACCACUUCUAUUUUCUUCCCGCGCGUUCCAGCUUCGUGGUGGGCAAACCACAAUUCCUGUAGGUUUAAAUACACCCGACAGGAAUCAGUAUCCCAUUCCUGACUGUGUUAGUGUAUUCCUGACGGUUUUAACAAAACGACAAGAAUAGUCAUCUGGUUCCUGACGGUUUUCUACAGCCGACAGGAAUUAUAUUGGAUUCCUGUCGGUUUUCCUACAGCCGACAGGAAUUAAACUGGCCGAAAGGAAAAGUCCCUAGUCUGGUAGUGAUAAUGCCAAAGUCUAUUGUUUCACAUCGAGAAACCAAAUUUGUUUCUAAUUUUUGAAAGAGUUUGCAUAGUGCUUUGGGAACAAGGCUUGACAUGAGUGUUGCUUUUCACCCACAAACUGAUGGUCAAUCAGAGCGGACUAUUCACGUUCUGAGUUUGCUUACUACAAUAAUUAUUUGUCUAGUAUACAGAUGGCACCAUAUGAGGCUUUAUAUGGUGGAAGGUGUAUCUCACCACUAUGUUGGGAAACCUUGGGAGAGAUCCCUGGUUGGCCCAGAUUGAGAGAUCCUUAGUUGGCCCGGAUUGGAUUCACCUAACAUAUGAGAAGGUGCAGUACAUACGUCAGAAUAUGUUGGCUGCUCAGAGCCACCAAAAGAGCUAUGCAGAUGUUAGGAGGCGGGACCAUGAGUUUGCAGUGGGUGAUCAAGUUUUUCUCAGAGUAUCACCUACGAAAGGCAUUCUGCGGUUUGGUACCACAGGGAAGCUUAGCCCGAUAUACAUCGGACCAUUUGAUAUUGUAAGAGAGAUGAACUGAGACAGAAUCACCGCACACAUUCAUUACACUCAGUGGAGGUACAUAUACAUCAACCAGAGCCAAUGGCGUAGCUAGAGAAAAUAUGAGAGGGGUGUGCUUGCCUUGUGGGUGCGUACACUACAGGAAGCAGUGGCUUCCUCUAGUGUCAAAUGCACUCGGGGAAGGCUCAGUUGCACUCGGGGAAGCCUUCCCCGAGUGCAACACUCGGGGAAGAGUGCCCGGGGUAUCUCUUCACGGGAAAUGCGUCUUCCCCGAGAGCCAAAAAUCAUGCACUCGGAGAAGGCUUUUCCGAGAGCCGUCCUAACACUAGGGGAAGAGUUGACGCCGUUGGUGGCAGCCGGCGCCGUUUCCUUCUUAAAAAAAUCUUCCCCGAGUGCAACACUCGGGGAAGAAACCCUCUUCCCCGAGCGCCGCAGCCCAGGCACUCGGGGAAGAAACCCUCUUCCCCGAGUGCCGUAGCCCAGACACUCGGGGAAGAAGCCCUCUUCCCCGAGCGCCUCGGCCCAAGCACUCGGGGAAGAAACCCUCUUCCCCGAGUGUCGCAGCUCAUGCACUCGGGGAAGAAACGCUAGCCUAAUAAAUAUAAUUAACCAGAUUUCAUGCCUAAUAAAUAUCCAUAACAACUCAUAUUAUUCAUCAACCACAUACAUAUGUAAACUAUAGCUGUCCCAACACUCAUCAAUCAUAUAAGAUAAAUUAUCUCAAAUUUUUAUUGAAGCCAACAUUAUCAAGUCUUGCAUAAUUCAUUACAGGUCAUCAUUCCAAAAGGAAAAGAACACAUACAACCUAGCUAGGUUAAAUAAUAGGCACAAGGCAUAUGUUUGCUUGCACAAUCUAUAGAUUCGCUACAAAAUGUCUCAUCUCCAUCUUCUCAAAAGCAAAACGUC
rnacentral:lncRNA from 1 species